rnacentral:lncRNA from 1 species
CUCGCCCACCAGGCCUUAAUCCAGAACGGCGCCGUGUUUGCCGACCGCCCCCUGGCCUUGGCCACCAACAAGUACGUCACCAGCAACCAGCACAACAUCAGCUCCGCCAUCUACGGCCCCACUUGGCGCCUCCUCCGCCGCAACCUCACCUCCGAAAUCCUUCACCCUUCCCGCAUCAAAUCCUACGGAAACGCCCGCAAAUGGGUUCUCGAUAUCCUCGUCAACCGCCUCAAAACCGAGUCUCAAUCCCACUCCGAAGGCGGCGCCGUCGUCAGGGUGGUCGACCACUUCCAAUACGCCAUGUUCUGCCUCCUGGUCUUGAUGUGCUUCGGCGACAAAUUGAACGAAGAGCAAAUCAAAGAAAUCGAGCAUGUGCAUCGCCAACUACUUUUGAGUUCCAGGCGGUUCAAUAUCCUCAAUUUCAAGCCGAAAUUGACGAAGAUUAUCUUCAAAAAUCGGUGGCGGCAAUUCUUCAAAAUCCUCGAGGAACGACGAGAAGUGCUCGUCCCUCUGAUUCGAGCACGACAAAACAGGGCAAAGCAGGGCAGCAAAACCGACGACAAAGACGAUGAAUUUGUGUUGUCGUAUACUGAUACGCUGCUGGACCUCGAACUUCCCGACGGCAACGAAAAGCGGAAGCUUUCGGAGGGAGAAAUGGUCAGCCUCUGCUCAGAGUUUCUGAACGGCGGCACCGACACGACUUCCACCGCGCUGCAGUGGAUCAUGGCCAACGUAGUGAAGUACCCGCAAGUUCAGGAGAAGCUGUUUGCGGAGAUUAAAGGGGUGAUGGGAGAAACGGAGGAGGAGGUGCGGGAGGAGGUCCUGCACAAGCUGCCGUAUCUGAAAGCCGUGAUCUUGGAGGGGCUGAGGCGCCACCCGCCGGGGCACUUUGUGCUGCCGCACGCUGUGACGCAUGACGUGGUUUUGGGCGGACACGUUGUGCCCAAGAACGGGACCGUUAAUUUCAUGGUGGCGGAUAUAGGGUGGGACCCGCAAGUGUGGGAAGAUCCCAUGGCGUUCAAGCCGGAGAGGUUCUUGGGCAGCGGCGGAGGAGAAGAAGGGUUCGAUUUGACGGGGAGCAGGGAGAUUAAGAUGAUGCCGUUUGGGGCAGGGAGGAGGAUCUGUCCUGCAUCGGGAUUGGCGGUGCUUCACCUGGAGUACUUUGUGGCGAAUUUGGUUUGGAAGUUUCAGUGGAGGGCUGUGGAGGGAGAUGACGUUGACCUGUCAGAGAAGACGGAGUUUACUGUGGUGAUGAAGAAUCCAUUGCAAGCCCACGUAAUCCCUAGAAUUUAAUACGUGGGAGAAUUCUGUACUAAUUUUUCGAUGUACGUUCAACCGCUAAAUCCAUCAAUGUAUAGAGGGGUGGGUUCAAAAAACCGAAAAUCAAAAAUCAAACCGCACCGAAACCGAAAAAACCGAACCGAAUUGAAAAAACCGAACCGAAUCGAAUUCUUUUGGUUCGGUUUGGUUUUAGUGCUCUAGAAACCGAACUAAACCGAACCGAACCGAAUUAAUUAAAUUAAUUUUUUAUUUAAUUAUUUGUUUUGGGUAUUAUUUUCUAAACCCAAUUUGUAAGUUAAAAUGUGCUAAACCCAAUGUGUUGCCAAACUUUAAGCUCAAAAUAUUUAAAAAAGGCCUAUAAAAACUCUAAACCCUAACAUAUUAUUUAUCUCCCAUAUAAGGUUCUGGAACCAAACCUCCUCCAGAAGUACUUACAUCCAUCUCCAUAGCACUGCCUACUUCUGCCAUAGCUUUCUUUUCCAAAUCUACUCUCAUAUAACAUGUAACAGAAUCCAUAAACAUUUAUUUCGGGUAGAUUACUUGGGUAAUUUGUGAUGGAAAAGAAUCUAACACACACUAAAUAAAUCUACCCACGCAUUAUUUUUACUAAUCAAGUUGUCAACAUGCAAUUACAAGCAAACAACCUUGAUCUUUGAACAACAUCAUACAAUUUAACUUUUCUAAGUCAUUUGUACGAUUUUUGUGAGGUUGUUAGUUUGGACUUUGGAAGACUUGAUUGAUGAUUUUAGUUCAAUUUUAAAUGUUUAUUUUCAUUGUCUUUGAUUCUAGUUAGAAUGCUUAUGUUAUGAUUGUGUUAGAUAUGUUAAAAUUUAAAAUUUCAAUGUUUUUCAUUUUUUGAAAAAAAAAAACAAAAAACCGAAACCGAACCGAAAAAAAACCGAACCGAAAAAAACCGAAAAAAAAAUGAACCGAACCGAACUGAACCGAAAUUUCGGUUUGGUUUCGGUUUUGGCAAAAAACCGAACCGAUUUAAACCGAACCCACCCCUAAAUGUAUAUGCUCUUCAUUGAUUAUGCAAUUUCGAAAAUUUGGAAUUUUAGUUUACCAAGUGUGAUUCAAGACAGAUUUUAUAAUUUUAAUAUUUAGUGAGUGAUUUGAGUGAGCUGUAUUUGCUACCUUGAUUUUACACUUCCUCCAGUUUGCAUAUAUUCAGGCAAAAAAAGUUUUUCAAUCUCAUUUUCCACAUCAAUGACAUCAUGAAUAGUUGUAUUAGAUGUGGGAUACUUACUUGCACUAACUUUCAAGGUUAUAAGAUAGAAGACCUUCAAAAAUUCCACAAACAUUUCUACACCAUUCCAAUCUUCCUCCUUAGGUGGUCCAACCUUCCUUUUACUCGCCACUUCUUCUCCUUCAUCAUUAAGCACAUUUUUCCUGAAAUAGGUGGAGUAUAUAUUGGCUUCAUCAUCUUCGGACAUCCUUUCAAAUGCUUUUUUAAACUUCAAGCAAUAUUCUAGCAUUAUGUAUGUGCUAUUCCACCUAAUAGGCACAUCCAUAACAACUAGACCCCUAAUAUCCAACUUCUCAUUCUCCACACAUUUCUUGAAAUAACUAAACCUUCGGGGACUUGAUGUCACAAACCGCACGACAUUUCUAAAAACAUCCACACUUGUAUCUAAUCUUUUCAACCAAGUUGAUAAUAUGAGCUAAGCACCUCACAUGCAUAAACUUGUCAUUCAUAAUAAUUUUACUAUUAGGCUAUUUCUGCAUUUUUCGAACAACAUACUCAAUUGCCACCUUAUUAGCCGAUGCAUUGUCAACUGAGAUACACAUUACCUUUUCAAUCUCCCACUCAACCAAACAUUGCUCAAUCAUCUUCUCUAUUUCUUUGCCUUCAUGACUUGAAAUCAAACAAAAGUUUAGAAUCCUUUUAUGCAUAUUCCAUUCAUCAUCCACAAAAUGAGCAGUGAGCACCAUGUAGUUCAAAUUUUGCACACUUGUAACGCCCCGUCCCGAAUUAAUUCUUUAAUUCCAGAAAUAAUAUUAUUAAUAUUGAUAGGCCCAAACUAAACUCCACUUUAUUUAGCAAAUUUUAAAUCACAAAUCUUUAUUUAAAUAACUCAUUCACAUACAAAACCAUCAAUAUUAAUUAAAAAUCAAAACGUAUAGUUACCUUACCAAAUUUAUGUACUAAAAUUUAUUUAUUAUACUUUAUAAAAAUUUCUUCAUUUCCAAUAUGAUUCAUAAACAUUAUUAUUUUAUCAACCACACAAUUAUAAUCUCAAGAUAUUUCCAUUUUCUUUCAAUUGAUCAAAGUUCUCAAAAUAAGAAUAAUUCUCAAUUAAAGUGAAAUUCUCGAUUAUUUAAGGCCGCAUCUAACACUGUUAGACUGCCUACGUACCCUGUAACCGGAUCAAGCCUUUCGUAGUUCACAUUUCAAAAAUUCAACCAAAUCCCGAAUAUAUUCAAUUAACAAACGAUAUUAACUACUGUAUUUACAACGAUCUUGAUCUGAUUUCCUUGACAGGUUGAAUUUGUUGGUGGGGCGCUGAGAUGCGGUGAAUAUGUGACAUUACGCAAAGUUGGGGAUGCAAGCCAUAAGGUUCGUCAGAUACAGAUAUGCUAAUAGUAUUAGCACCCAAGUUUUUGGUACAACAGUUGCAUUUUUGCAGAUGGAAAAUCUGACUAGCGUAUUUACAUUUUUUGUCUUUUUUUGUAGGGUGGUGGUUCCGGCACCCAACAAAUUGUGAUCAAAGGCCCCUUAUGCAAGGAUUAUUACAAGAUUCGGGAGUAUCUCUACUCACAAUUUUAUUUGCUUUGAGUAGAGAUACAUAAUAUCAAACGCCUUCGGAUGAACAGUCAUUUAGUCGCGAUGUUAAUUUAUAGUGAUUUCAUGAAACACACUAAAGUUUAAUUUAAAUGUAGGACUUAUUUUCAGUUGAAGUUGUCAAUUCUGUUCAUGCAUGAUGGAAAUCUUCGAAACAAAUUGGCAGUUCAAGUAAAUCAUAUUCAAGGAAACAAAUCAUGUUUGAUGAGUUAGAGACGAACGUGUUAAAUUCAAAUAGUACCAAGACAUUACAUACGUACUAAAACAAAACAUCACAAACGAAUCACAGUUAAACAUUUUAACUUGUUUACGGGACAAUAUACAAGUGAGCCGGAAUAAUGCGGCAAACAUGGCACGUAAAUUACAAUGCAUUUUACUAUUUUAGCUUCUCAUCGAUACAAUGCUGCGUGAUUGGUUUGGGAUAUUUUGCUUGAGGCAAGAGUUGAUCUCCACGUCAACGUCAACGUUCGUCAGCAAAGGAGCUUUAUCCAUCUCUUUGUAUAAUAUGGAAAAUAACAAUUUAUUAAGCAGACGCAUUUGCCCUUUGUCCGAUUGCUGACGGACCAUGGAAACCUGGUUCCUGAUCCUCAUCGCCUUCUGCGUCUCCUUCCUCCUCAAACCCCUUCUUUCCCUAUUCCUACCCACUUCCAUCUCCAAACCCAAGCUCCCUCCUGGGCCCCGCGUCUUCCCCGUCAUCGGCGGCUUCUUAUUCCUCCUCAAAUCCUUCUCGGAGCUCGAGCCUACCAUCUGCAAACUCAAGGCCAAAUACGGGCCCAUCAUCUCCCUCCGCCUCGGCUCCCGCCCCGCCGUCUUCAUCGCCGACCGCUCCCUCGCCCACCAGGCCUUAAUCCAGAACGGCGCCGUGUUCGCCGACCGCCCCCCGGCCUUGGCCACCAACAAGUACGUCACCAGCAACCAGCACAACAUCAGCUCCGCCAUCUACGGCCCCACUUGGCGCCUCCUCCGCCGCAACCUCACCUCCGAAAUCCUUCACCUUUCCCGCAUCAAAUCCUACGGCAACGCCCGUAAAUGGGUUCUCGAUAUCCUCGUCAACCGCCUCAAAACCGAGUCUCAAUCCCACUCCGAAGGCGGCGUCGCCGUCGUCAGGGUGGUCGACCACUUCCAAUAUGCCAUGUUCUGCCUCCUGGUUCUGAUGUGCUUCGGCGACAAAUUGAACGAAGAGCAAAUCAAAGAAAUUGAGCGUGUGCAUCGCCAACUACUUAUGAGUUCCGGGCGGUUCAAUAUCCUCAAUUUCAAGCCGAAAUUGACGAAGAUUAUCUUCAAAAAUCGGUGGCGGCAAUUCUUCAAAAUCCUCGAGGAACGACGAGAAGUGCUCGUCCCUCUGAUUCGAGCACGACAAAACAGGGCAGCAAAACCGACGACAAAGACGAUGAAUUUGUGUUGUCGUAUACUGAUACGCUGCUGGACCUCGAACUUCCCGACGGCAACGAAAAGCGGAAGCUUUCGGAGGGAGAAACGCUCAGCCUCUGCUCAGAGUUUCUGAACGCUGGCACCGACACGACUUCCACCGCAAGUUCAGGAGAAGCUGUUUACGGAGAUUAAAGGGGUGAUGGGAGAAACGGAGGAGGAGGUGCAGGAGGAGGUCCUGCACAGGCUGCCGUAUCUGAAAGCCGUCAUCUUGGAGGGGCUGAGGCGCCACCCGCCGGGGCACUUUGUGCUGCCGCACGCGGUCACGCAUGACGUGGUUGUGGAUGCAAAUUUCUUCCUCCUUGAUCUUGGACAAUUUUGCACCUACAAAACAAUUAAUACCUUAGGUUAAGGCCAAGAGCCUCACGCGCCCACGAUGAAUGGGGGGGGCUUUGGCCGAAUAACCUCCGAUGCUAAAGUUAGAAUUUAGAGAGAAAGAGUGUUUAGAGAAUUUUGGGAUUUUUGCCAAAGUGUUGGAAUUGAUUUUUUGGUGAGAAUAGGUGCCUAUUUAUAGAGUUAGGAGGUGGCUAGGGUUUUUAGGUUUAAUUUAGGUUUAAUUAGCCAAUUUAUUAUGAUUAAUUGGCUAAUUUAAACAUAAAGGAAUGUUUUGAUGGUUAUGGGUUUAAUUGGCUAGUUGAAUAAGGAAAAAAUGAGGUAAAAACAUAUAUGAAAUAGGUUUUGAAUUGUUACCCAUUUUGGGUACUUCUGACUUGGUUGAUGGAUGAUUCUCCACUGCUCGCGUGUAGGAGACCCGGUAUGCCUCGAGGGUAUUUUUGUCCUUUUUGUCCAAAAAACCCAUGUGUCGCCUUGUGAAUAUUUUUGGCUCCACAAAUGCCCCCACACCUGUUGGGCUGCUCGCAGAAAAGGGCGGCAGGUGUAGAGAUUUUCUUGCUUUAGGAAACUUAGGACUGCUUCCUAUUUUGAUGUAGAUUCUCUCUUUAAUAGGAAAUUAGAUCCUUCUAGGAAAGGGAAAUAAAUUUCUCUCAAAACCUAUUUAAGUCCACCUUAAGUGGGUUAUUAAAUCAACUUUGGAGAGCGAUUUAUUCUACCCUACAAGAGAGAGAUAGCUUAGAGGAUAUUUGUUCCCCCUCCUCUAGCAAUCUUCUACAUCUUGCCCGUGCAAAUGACCGUCUUUCGUUGCUUUCUUCGUCUUCUUCGUGCCGCACCAAUGUAAGAAAAAUUUAAUUUUUCUUGCCUUAUUCUUGGAUAGUGCUAUUGCGAGGUAGCCGUCGGGGUGGUGUGGCAUGUCGGCUGGCAGGGGCCAGGAGCUGGCUCGGCAUGAGCUGAGGAGAUGUCGUGGCAGGGACCACUGCUUGGGUAGCUUGGCUUGGCCUGAGCCAAGGGCAGCUUGUGCAGCUGGGGUCGAGGAUUGUGGCGCUAGGGCACAAUGUUAGGCGAGCCGCAUAGCUCAUGUCCUUUGGGCUCUUGGACCUGACUCGGGCCAGGCUGGCGAUUGAGAGAAAUAAAGAGAUUGCGGGUCUCAUGGGCUGCUGGAAUGUUGGGCAUGCAUGCCUUCUGCCUGCUGGAAUGCUGGGUUGAGCUCCCCUGCUGAGUACCAUGAAUGUCGUUGGCUACUUAGUCUUCUUUGCUGAAAGAAAGGUGGGCUGCUCCAGAAAGAUGAGGUAAAGAGGAUCAAGGCGGAUGCAUUGGCUCGUCUGAUCGCUGUCGUGGAGCUUACUAUGAAUGAAGAUGGAAAGAAGAGAUCUUCCCCGCCUGCUCAUGAGAUGCCUAGUUAAGAAAAAACUGAAGACUUCUUCUGCUGUUCAUGAGGGUCCGCUUGCUACCGAGAGGUAUGUGAUUGACAUGACUUCUUCUAAUGGGAAGAAAAAUAAGGCUGCUAGAUCUGAGCAUGUGGCGUCUUCCAUGUUGAGAAUGGCUAGUACAAUUGUGGAUAAGAUUGCUUAGCGUAAAGGUUUUAUCAUGCCCCCAGUGCCGAAGUCUGUACCAGGACGUUCUUUGGGAGCCAAGUCCGGUUCACCUUUGUAGAGACUUGCUAUUAUGAAGAGUGGUAAGGUGGACUCUGCUACUAAAGUGGCGCCAAAGCCUGCUCCCUUUGCUGCUGAGAUUGAUUCGCCUCAGAUUCAAGAUCUUAAGCUUGCAAUUUCUGAGCUUCGUUUCACUGCUUAUGCUAAGAAGGGAGUGGAUGAGCUGCAGCGCGUCUGUGUUAGUCUGCUUAAGAAGAAUGAGCAGCUGAAGGGUGAGAAUGAUGGGCUUGAGGUUUUAAGACCUUCUCUAUUUCUCCGAAAGACUUGCUUGCUUUUACUUUUAAGGCUUCCAUUGGUGAAGUAGUUGGAGAAGUUAGUGCCCAAACUGGGGCAGCCGGGGGUGAAGUGCCGGAUGAUGCCGUUGCUAAGAGUAUUACGGCUGUUGAAGGUGUGGCGACCGAGUAGUCGUGGGAUGUCCAAACUGCUGUAGUGUAGUAUUUUAGGUAGCCUUUAGGAUUUUUCUUUGUUUUUUCCUUGUAGCUUUUGUUUUGCUUGAACUCCUUCGGCCUUUGCUAGUUGUUUAUAAACAUGUUUUCCUUCGUUUUUCUUUAUCUUCACUUCUUUUGUUCAUGCCCUAACCUUUAGACUUGAUAGACCAGUGGCAGGCAUGCUACUUUUUUAUAAGCAGACAAACUCGCGUAGCCUAUGCAGCCGUAGGUGUUGGUGUAGAACUUUGCAAAGUUGUUAGCCAUAGGGUUGGCAGCCGGAUGCCUUACUUACAGAAGCAGACAAGUCCGCGUAACCACUAGGCUGUUAACCUUGACUUUCUUCAAUUCCGUAGGUUGCGUAGCAAGUAUCACAACACUUUAGGACUUGGUGUAGGUUGUUCCGCGCUUGGCAGAGGUGAAGCUUAUCGACUACGUAGCAUGUCGGCAGUGGAUAAAACUUCGUAUAUGCGCGCUAGCUUGUUUAACCUUUCACAAGAAUGUGCGGUUGUAUAAGUCUAGUGCGGCUUCACUGCUCGAAGGGCAAGCCGUAGGCAGUCUUCCGGAAUCCGUAGGCUACCUUAGUGCACUCGGUAGCAGCUUUAGGAUUCCAGGGCAGCCGUCCAUCGGAUGUACUGCGUAAUGUGCCCUCUCCGUCUCUAGGGCCCGGUUCCCUACGGAUUAGGCCAAGAGACCCAAAAUCCUUCAGUUAGCUAAGCCUUGAAAAAGACCAUUGCGGCUACUUCUAGGAAUCCCGGCGCAAGCCAUCGUGCAUCUAGUUAUACUAGGGCAGCCAGGCUCAUCCACGUCUGGAUAUUCGGAGUGUAAAGUUUAUCCUCCCGUCUUGGAGAGCUGACCCAUAUGGGUGUUGGAGAAUUGGUUUACCCUCUCGCACUGGAGAGCAUGGUUGGUCCCUCGGGGGGCGCAAUUCCUGCGAUGAGUCCCUAAGAAGGGCGCAGUCUUCUCUUUUGAAGUGCAGGAGUGAUUAGUUGUUGUAAGCAUGCAGCCAAGCCAAGUUGUGAUUACUUCUAAAUUCCUCAUUGAAAAACGAGUGAAACGAACGAGAACUUUAGCUGUAAGGUAGGAACUGCAUAACAACUGGAUAGUCCUCAGCUUGUGAGGUGGUGCCCGUCGAGCUUAUUGAGUCUUCGGGUUUUGAUGUAGCAGGAGGUCACACAUGGUACUUCUUCAGAUUGUAGGCCAUCCAUUUCUUUUCAAUCUUUUUGCCGCUUCAUGGUGGUGAGGGUGUAAUUACUCUUGCCCCCUACUCUGCUGAUCUUGUACGGACCUUCCCAGAUGGGAUCCAUCUUUUUGGAGCCUUCUCUGCCGGCAGUGAUGAAGGUUUUUUUGCGUCGUCGACAUGCAAAUGCCAGAAGUCUCCAUCGGGUGGAGUAGGCGCAGCUAGAGUGUGCUCGGCUACUUCUGAGGCAUCGUUGGGCCGCUCUGUUGCGUCACCUAGGCUCGGCGUGAAGACGCAGUAGGGAGCUGUGGAGAUGGGGCCAUGUCAUACGCAACAGGAGAUGCUCAACUGCCGGUAUUGGGCCACUCUAGAGUUGAAUCAUUGAGCAAGGGUCGGCUAGGGCCGUGUGAUGCGCAGCAAGAAAUGGUACUCAACUGCCGGUACAUGUGUGCUCCUAUGUAGAAUCUUUUAGGGUGACGAGGACAAAACUUGCUUUCGAGUGUGUCCUUCCAGUGUUGCGUUCGUCAGAAAACUUUACAUCCGCCAGGGUCUACGUCUUUAUCGUCGCGCGUCUGGAUUGGGCAGAAUAGUACGUCAUUAGGAUAAUUGCAUGCGUUUGAAAGUAAAACUUGUGCUUCUGGGUUGCAACAACUAUCGCCAAAGUUAGCUUUUGAAUUUUUAAUAACAUCGAAGAGAGCUUUUGAACUGUAGAAUACAGGUAACUGUGGAAUACAGGUAGUCGGGCCCCCAUCUCUUCUCGCAUGAUGGUAGAGCUUAUUGCUACUUUAGAUACCGUCAAACAUGUGAAUAAGUCCUCCGCUGCUUCUAGGGAGGUGAUGUCGGGUACUUCUUCAAGUCCUUGAAUGUGCAUUGGCGAGCCUCAUCCCAAAGUGCAUACUUCUCUGCCAAAGCAAAAGAGUCUGCCAGAGUUAGAUCUUCUUUCAUGAUUAAUUUUCCGAAUAACGGGUGGUCUGCUGGAAGUCCUUUUUGGAAGGCUGCUCUAGCUAUCGAGUCGUUGCAUCCGACUAUUUUUGCCUUCUCUACUUUGAACCUCCUCACAUAGUCGCGAAGUGACUCCUUUGGGUUCUUCUUGACGUUGAACAAAUGAUCAGAUUUCUUUUUGAUCGAGCGAUAGGAUGAAUAUUCUUUGGUGAAAACCAAAGAAAGUUCGUAGAAAUUCCGGAUGGAUUGUGGCGACAGGGUGUAGAACCAAUCUUGCGCCUCGCCUUGUAGAGUGGUGGCGAAUAUCUUGCACAUAAGCUCAUCGUUGUUUCGAUAAAGGAUCAUUGCGCUUCGGUAGCGCUUUAAGUGUCUCUCCGGGUCUUUAUCCCCUUUGAAAGAUGUGAAAUGUGGCAUGCUGAACUCUCGUGGAGGCUCUGCCUGCUCGAUCUCGUCCGUGAAGGGUGACCUGCUUAUGUUGGUCAUGUUCCAUCGUAGUGCCUCGUCCGUGACCUCGUUGCGUUGGAAAUCAUGCAAUCGCUUGGUCAAGAGUCUCUCUACUUCUUCCUGAAUUUGCCUUUGUUGGGGUAGCGGAGCUCUCGGCUGCCCCCAGCCAUGACUUGGUGGUCUAGACUGCUCUUCCAUGUGUUUGGCUCGUCUACGCCGCAGAUGCAGUGCAUGUGGUGCGUUCCUAGCAGGCUGCUGGUUGAACUUGAGCUGGAUUGAGUGACUGCCUCUUUCCGUCCGUCGUGCUGCCUACUCUGAUGUGAGGUGGAUGAUGCUCCUUGUGGGCUUAGCCGCGAAUGAACACUUUGUCCGGAAGGUUGCUCAUGUUGACUAUCGGAGUGUGACCCCAACCGUGAAUGUAUGCUCAUCCGUGGGCCUAGUCGAGAGUACACGCUCCUCCGCGCGCUAAGACGGGAGUAUACGCUAUCUCGGGGGCCCAAUCGGGAAUGUACACUGCCUGAACGUUCGGCUCGUGGCUGGUCGAAAGGCUGCUUGCUGCUGCUGGAAAGGUUCGUCUGCCCUUGUCCUACUUCGGGAUACCUUGUCCGGGGCACGUUGGAUCCGAUGCGUUGCAAAAGUUGAUUCACCAAAGUUGUCUGUUGUGCAAGGGCGCUCGUCAACUCUAUGACUUGUCGAGACAAGUGUUGUUCGCCAUUUGGAUUGGAAGAGCUUGGAAGGAAUGCGCCUCCUUGGGCAGUGGAAAUGUGGUAGACUCCGGGUGCGAGAUUUGAAUUGGGAAAUGUCAAAUCCGCGAAAAAAUAUGGUAAGAAUGCCCCCGGCUCGAUGGUAGGUCCGGAUGGUUGAGAUAGUCUUGGGUCGACUUGGGCUGCUUGGAAAGCCACUGGAGCAUGAUGAGCCUUGAGAGUGGGCUGCUCGUCGGGAGUAGGCUGGGUCACGAGAGCAGGCUGCUUGGCAGGAGCAGGUUGGGCCGUGAGAGUGGGCUGCUCGACGGAAGCAGGCUGAACCACGAGAGUGAGCUGCUCGUCGGGAGCAGGCUGGGUCACGAGAGCAGGCUGCUUGGCAGGAGCAGGCUGGACCACAGGAGUGGGCUGCUCGACGGAAGCAGGCUGGACCGCGGGAGUGGGUUGCUCGUCGGGAACAGGCUGGGUCACGAGAGCAGGCUGGGCCACGGGAGUGGGCUGCUUGGCAGGAGCAGGCUGGGCCACCGGAGUGGGCUGCUCGACGAAAGCAGGCUGGGCCACGGGAGUGGGCUGCUCGUCGGGAGCAGGCUGGGUCACGAGAGCAAGCUGCUCGGCAGGAGCAAGUUGGGCCGUGAGAGUGGGUUGCUUGACGGGAGCAGGCUGCUCAAUGCGCGGUGCAUAUGAAUGCGAGGCUUGGGCUUGGGUCCACGUAAACUCAGAUGGCACGGCUUGGAUCGUGGUCUUGGUACCGUGAGCCUUGGAUGGCACGGCUCGGGCCGUGGUGAAGGCUCCAUGGACCUCGCCACGAGUGGCUACCGAAGUAGCCACCGCGGUGGUUCCCAUGGUGGCCGUGGUGAAGGCACCAUGGACCUCGCCGCGGGUAGCUACCGAGGUAGCCACCACGGUGGUUCCCAUGGUAGAAGCUUGUGGUGAUGAUGCCGCUCCCCUUAUUGUCGCAUUUUGCCUCACGGAUCUCCGGGUCGUGGUGAAGGCUCCAUGGACCUCGCCACGAGUGGUUACCGAAGUAGCCACCGCGGUGGUUCCCAUGGCGGCCGUGGUGAAGACACCAUGGACCUCGCCGCGGGUGGCUAUCGAGGUAGCCACCACGGUGGUUCCCAUGGUGGAAGCUCGUGAUGAUGAUGCCACUCCCCUUAUUGUCGCAUUUAGCCUCACGGAUCUCCGCAAUCCCAUUUCUUGAACAUUAUAAUUUUCACUUGUGGAAUUUUCUAAAUUUCUAGCCAUUAUAUUUUGCUUAUACGUUUUAUCAAAGAACCUUUGCAAGUAAAAAAUUCUAAUAAUAAGAACGUAUGAAAAAUAUUCAAAUGGACUAGAAAAUAAAGAAAAAAAAACAUUUUUGUGUGAGAGUCUUCUACGAGUAUGGAUUUCAACUCUCAAUGAAAGCACCAAUUUGUGGAUGCAAAUUUCUUCCUCCUUGAUCUUGGACAAUUUUGCACCUACAAAACAAUUAAUACCUUAGGUUAAGGCCAAGAGCCUCACGCGCCCACGAUGAAUGGGGAGGCUUUGGCCGAAUAACCUCCGAUGCCAAAGUUAGAAUUUAGAGAGAAAGAGUGUUUAGAGAAUUUUGGGAUUUUUGCCAAAGUGUUGGAAUUGAUUUUUUGGUGAGAAUAGGUGCCUAUUUAUAGAGUUAGGAGGUGGCUAGGGUUUUUAGGUUUAAUUUAGGUUUAAUUAGCCAAUUUAUUAUGAUUAAUUGACUAAUUUAAACAUAAAGGAAUGUUUUGAUGGUUAUGGGUUUAAUUGGCUAGUUGAAUAAGGAAAAAAUGAGGUAAAAACAUAUAUGAAAUAGGUUUUGAAUUGUUACCCAUUUUGGGUACUUCUGACUUGGUUGAUGGAUGAUUCUCCACUGCUCGCGUGUAGGAGACCCGGUAUGCCUCGAGGGUAUUUUUAUCCUUUUUGUUCAAAAAACCCACGUGUCGCCUUGUGAAUAUUUUUUGCUCCACAGUGGUUUUGGGCGGACACGUUGUGCCCAAAAACGGGACCGUUAAUUUCAUGGUGGCGGAUAUAGGGUGGGACCCGCAAGUGUAGGAAGAUCCCAUGGCGUUCAAGCCGGAGAGGUUCUUGGGCAGCGGCGGAUGAGAAGAAGGGUUCGAUUUGACGGGGAGCAGGGAGAUUAAGAUGAUGCCGUUUGGGGCAGGGAGGAGGAUCUGUCCUGCAUCGGGAUUGGCGGUGCUUCACCUGGAGUACUUUGUGGCGAAUUUGGUUUGGAAGUUUCAGUGGAGGGCUGUGGAGGGAGAUGACGUUGACCUGUCAGAGAAGACGGAGUUUACUGUGGUGAUGAAGAAUCCAUUGCAAGCCCACGUAAUCCCUAGAAUUUAAUACGUGGGAGAAUUCUGUACUAAUUUUUCGAUGUACGUUCAACCGCUAAAUCCAUCAAUGUAUAUGCUCUUCAUUGAUUAUGCAAUUUCGAAAAUUUGGAAUUUUAGUUUACUAGUGUGAUUCAAGACAGAUUUUAUAAUUUUAAUAUUUAGUGAGUGAUUUGAGUGAGCUGUAUUUGCUAUCUUCAUGUAAUUGUAAACACGCAUCGGAGAUUACGAAGUAGCUUGGGUUGAUUUUGAGGCAGGAAAGACAGAAAAUGAAAUGCUAUCUUUACAACCCCUCUCAACCCUGCCUUCACCGCAUGAAUCUAUCCUUAUUGGUGACUUAAAAAGGGCUAAUUUCAAGCAAUUUCUUUCCGACAAGGGUGUUCAGUUACCAUUUCCGUUCAUUGCUUAAUUUGUUAGAUUAUGUUUCAUCACCAAAAUUCGAUAUGUGAAAUAAUCUCACGUUCUCAACUUCUAGAUAAGGUUAAAUCUCUAUGGAACUACCAUAUAUACAACGAUUUUGAUCUGAUUUCCUUGACAUGUUGAAUUUGCUGGUGGGGCGCUGAGAUGCGGUGAAUAUGUGACAUUACGCAAAGUUGGAGAUGCAAGCCAUAAGGUUGGUCAUAUACAUAUAUGCUAAUAGUAUUUGCACCCAAAUUUUUAGCACAACAGUUGCAUAGCUAGAGUUCUGGUUUGCGGAUGGAAAGUCUAACUAGCGUAUAUAUAAUUUGAUCUUUUGUAGGGUGGUGGUUCUGGCACCCAACAAAUUGUGAUCGCAAGCCCUUAUGUCAGGAUUAUUACAAGAUUCAGGAGUAUCUCUACUCACAAUUUUGUUUGUUUUAAGACUAUCUUCAACCCUUGGGGACAAGACAAAGCUUAAAAAUUUAAGCCAGAAAAUUUGAAGUCAUAAGCCAUAAACUAUUUUUCUCUUUCAACACUUAUGGCUUAAAAUUUUAGCCCGUGAUGAUCAAAUAAUGAUAUUAGCCUAAUUUUUUGUUUUCUGUAACUUCUUUUGAAAAUAAAAUUUAUGUAGAUUAUCUUAAUUUAUUUUUAUGAACAUUUUAGUCUAAAAAUAUUUAAAUUCUCAAAUACAUAUGUAUUUAUAAAGUUCUAAGUUAAAUUUGAUUUAAAUAAUUUUCUUAAAUUAUUUUAGACGUUGGUUUAAUUUUGGGCCGUCAAAUCUUUUUUUUACUAUUAGAUUUGAUCUCAUUUGAUCGUAGCCGUUAGAUUAUAAGUAAACAACAAAAAAAUAAUUGAAAUAUAACAGUUUGGUGGAUCCAGAAUAAUUUAAACCAGGCUUAAAUCCUGGAAGUAAUCUAGCUUAGAGAUAUAUUUUCUCUCCAGGGUUUAUUUUAGCCCAUGAUUGGAGAUGAUUUGGGAGAAGUUUUAAAACUUAUGUUUUAAGCUUUAUUUUAUGAAUUGGUGAUGGUCUAAGUGAAGAGACAUAAUAUCAAACGGGUGAACUAACAUUUAAUCACGAUGUUAACUUCCAGUGAUUCCACGAAACACACUAAAGUUAUUUCAACGUAGACUUAUUUUUCUUCGAAGUUGCAAUGGUAAGACAUUUUAAGUGAAAGUGACAAUAUGUGCAGCUGAGUCAAAGCCGUGGAAACCUGAUUUCUUAUAGGACAAGGAUUGUCUGCCCUCCUAGUUGUGGUGCCCUUUCAUGCACUCUUAUUUUGUGCGGUCAUGAUUAAGCCAUGUCAAUAUUUUAUAUUUUUAUUGUUUUUUAUCUUAUUAUCUCAUUAAAAAUUAAUAUAAAAUAUUAAUAUGACUUAAGCGUGACCGCACAAAAUAAGAGAGAAUGGAAGGGCACCACAAUUAGGAGGGCAGACUGUCCUUUCUUAUAAAGUAUGGAAACUAACAAGAACUAACAAUUAAUGAGCAAACGCAGUCGCCCUCUGUCUGAUUGCUUACGAUUCACCAUGGAAACCUGGUUCCUUAUCCUCAUCGCCCUCUGCGUCUCCUUCCUCCUCAGACCCCUUCUCUCUCUAUUCCUACCCACUUCCAUCUCCAGAUCCAAUCUCCCUCCCGGGCCUCGCUUCUUCCACAUCAUCGAAGGCUUCUUAUUCCUCCUCAAAUCUACCUCGGAGCUCGAGCCUAUAAUCCGCAAACUCCAGGCCGAAUACGGGCCCAUCAUCUCCCUCCCCAUCGGCUCCCGCUCUACCGUCUUCGUCGCCGACCGCUCCCCCGCCCACCAGGCCUUAAUCCUGAACGGCGCCGUGUUCGCCGACCGCCCCCAGGCCUUGGCCACCAACAAGUGCGCCAGCAGCAACCAGCACACCAUCGCCUCCGCCGUCUACGGCCCCACGUGGCGUCUCCUCCGCCGCAAUAUCACCUCCGAAAUCCUCCACCCUUCCCGCGUUAAAUCCUACGGCAGCGCCCGCAAAUGGGUUCUCGACAUCCUCGUCAACCGCCUCAAAACCGAGUAUCAAUCCCACUCCGAAGCCGCCGCCGCCGGGGUCAGGGUGGUCGACCACUUCCAAUACGCCAUGUUCUGCCUCCUGGUUCUGAUGUGCUUCGGCGACAAAUUGAACGAAGAGCAAAUCAAAGAAAUCGAGCACGUGCAGCGCCAACUACUUUUGAGUUCCGGGCGGUUCAAUAUCCUCAAUUUCAAGCCGAAAUUGACGAAGAUUAUCUUCAAAAAUCGGUGGCGGCAAUUCUUCAAAAUCCUCGAGGAACGACGAGAAGUGCUCGUCCCUCUGAUUCGAGCACGACAAAACAGGGCAAAGCAGGGCAGCAAAACCGACGACAAGGAUGAUGAAUUUGUGUUGUCGUAUACAGAUACGCUGCUGGACCUCGAGCUUCCCGACGGCAACGAAAAGCGGAAGCUUUCGGAGGGAGAAAUGGUUAGCCUCUGCUCAGAGUUUCUGACCGCCGGCACCGACACGACUUCCACCGCGCUGCAGUGGAUCAUGGCCAACGUAGUGAAGUACCCGCAAGUUCAGGAUAAGCUGUUUGCGGAGAUUAAAGGGGUGAUGGGAGAAACGGAGGACGAGGUGCCGGAGGAGGUCCUGCACAAGCUGCCGUAUCUGAAAGCCGUGAUCUUGGAGGGGCUGAGGCGCCAUCCACCGGCGCACUUUGUGCCGCGCGCGGUGACGCAUGACGUGGUUUUGGGCGGAUACGUGGUGCCCAAGAACGGGAGUGUUAGUUUCAUGGUGGCGGAUAUAGGGUGGGACCCGCAAGUGUGGGAGGAUCCCAUGGCUUUCAAGCCGGAGAGGUUCUUGGGCAGCGGCGGAGAAGAAGGGUUCGAUUUGAGGGGGAGCAGGGAGAUUAAGAUGAUGCCGUUUGGGGCAGGGAGGAGGAUCUGUCCAGGGUCGGGAUUGGCGGUGCUUCACCUGGAGUACUUUGUGGCGAAUUUGGUGUGGAAAUUUGAGUGGAGAACUGUGGAGGGAGAUGACGUGGACCUGUCAGAGAAGCAGGAGUUUACUAUAGUGAUGAAGAAUCCAUUGCAUGCCCACGUAAUCCCUAGAAUUUAAUACGUGUGAGAAUUCUGUACUAAUUAUUCGGUGCAUAUUCAACCGUUGAAUCUAUCCAUGUAUGCUUUUCAUUGAUUAUGUAAUUUUGAAAAUUUAGAUUUUUAGUUUACUAGUCUGAUUCAAGACGGAUUUUAUAACUUCAAUAUUUAGAGAGUGAUUUGUGUGAGAUGUAUUUGCUACUUUUUAGCUUAUAACUAAUACAACUUUCAAAUCUUGGGAAGACAACUUCUGUAUUAGAGACUGCCCAAGAGCAAGGAGCAUUUGAGCAUUUGAGAAUUUGAUGGGAUUGCCUACAUAGGUACAACUCUCCUUUAAUCUUUGUGUUACAGCUUGUCUAAUGACUAAUUCGAAAUCCAAGUUACUGUAGUCUAAACAAAUUCGGUGGAGUAGUGUUUUUGUUUUUACCUUUGCAUAUAUGGAAAUGAAAGAAUAAAUAACUCUUUGAAGACAACUUCUUUCCGACAAAGGUGUUGAGGUACCAUUUCCAUUCAUUGCUUAAUUUGUUAGACUAUGCUUCAUCCCCAAAAUUCAUCAUCUGAAGUAAUCUCAAGUUUUCAACUUCAUGUUUUGAGCCCCAGAGAAAAGGUUAAGCUCUAUGGAACUACUAUAUUUACAGCGAUCUCGAUCUGAUAUGCUAAUAGUAUUAGCACCCAAGUUUUUGUUACAACAGUUGCAUUUUUGCAGAUGGAAAAUAUGACUAGUGUAUUUAUAUUUUUUAUCUUUUUUGUAGGGUGGUGGUUCCGGCACCCAACAAAUUGUGAUCGAAGGCCCCUUAUGCGAGGAUUAUUACAAGAUCUGGGAGUAUCUCUACUCACAAUUUUAUUUGCUUUAAGUAGAGAUACAUAAUGUUAAAUGCCUUCGGAUGAACUGUCAUUUAGUCGUGAUGUUAAUUUCUAGUGAUUUCAUGAAACACCCUAAAGUUUAAUUUAAAUGUAUGACUUAUUUUCCGUUGAAGUUGUGAAUUCUAUUCAUGCAUGAUGGAUCUUCGACACAAAUUGGCAGUUCAAGUAAAUCAUAUUCAAGGAAACAAAUCAUGUUUGAUGAGUUAGAGACGAACGUGUUAACUUCAAAUAGUACCAAGACAUUACAUACAUGCUAAAACUAAACAUCACAAACGAAUCACAGUUAAGCAGUUUAACCUUUUUACGUGACAAAAUAUAGUUGAGUCGGAAUAAUGAGGCAAACAUGACAAGUAAAUUGCCAUGCAUUUUAGCUUUUCAUCGAUACAAUGUUGUGUGAUUGGUUUGCGAUAUUUUGCUCCACCCAAGAGUUGGUCUCCAGGUCAACGUCAACGUUCGUCAGCAAAGGAGCUUUAUCCAUCUAUUUAUAAAAUAUGGAAAAUAACAAUUUAUUAAGCAAACUCAUUUGCCCUUUGUCUGAUUGCCAACGGUUGACCAUGGAAACCUGGUUUGGAAGUUUCAGUGGAGGGCUGUGGAGGGAGAUGACGUUGAUCUGUCAGAGAAGAUGGAGUUUACUGUGGUGAUGAAGAAUCCAUUGCAAUCGUGCAUAAUUCCUAGAACUUAAUAAGUUAGUGAAUUCUGUACUAAUUCUUCGGUGCACCGUUAAAUCCAUCCAUGUAUGCUCUUCAUUGAUUAUGUAAUUUCGAAAAUUUGGAUUUUUAGUUUACUAGUGUGAUUCAAGACCCUUAAUAAAAGGUUUAGUAUUUGAAUCUAACAGAGGACAUGACAUAUAACCAAGCGCAAUGACGUUUUAUGAUUCAUAUAGCCAACCCUACUUAGUGGAAAAAGACUUUGUUGUUGUUGUUGUUGUAGUGUGAUUCAAGACAGAUUUUAUAACUUCAAUAUUUAGUGAGUGAUUUGAGUGAGCUGUAUUUGCUAUCUUGAUGUAAUUGUAAACACGUAUCGGAGAUUAUGAAGUAGCUUGGGUUGAUUCUGAGGCAGGAAAGACAGAAAAUGAAAUGCUAUAUUUACAACCCCUCUUAACCCCGCCUCCACCGCAUGAAUCUGUCCUUGUUGGUGACUUAAAAAUGGCUACUUUCAAGCAAUUUCUUUCCGACAAGGGUGCUUAGAUACCAUUUCCGUUCAUUGCUUAAUUUGUUGGACUAUGUUUCAUCACCAAAAUUCGUUAUAUGAAAUAAUCUUUCUCAACUUCAUGUUUUGUAGCCCAUAGAUAAGGUUAAAUCUCUAUGGAACUACCAUAUAUACAACUAGGGGUGGGCACGGGCCGGGCCGGGCCCAAUUUUGAAGGGACUGGACCGGACCUGGGUUCAAAGAAAACGGGUCAAAGAUUACAUUUUUUAAUAUAGGAACCAGACCUUACCCGGCCCGGUUGAAAUGGGCCAGUUCAGGCUAGGUCCACGGGUCCCUUUUUUUUUUUUGGUUUGAAAAAAAAUAAUAAAAUUUGCACUGAUUGCAAACUGCACUGAUUGCAACUGCACAGAGUCACAGACUGCAUUUAUGCAAAUUUUGCACAAAUUCACCAUUAUUCACAUCCAAUCAAAAAUUCUAAAUACAAAGUCCAACAUUCAAGUUCAUAGAUUAACAAUACAUCCAAAAUAACAAUAUUACAUCGUCCAACAUCUAAAAAUCAAAUCAACAUACAAAUAUCCGAAAGUCCAAGGCAUCCACAAUAAAUUCCAAAUUAACAUCCAAAACCACAUCCAACGUCCAAGUUCUAACAACAAUCCUCAUUGAAUCUGUAAGCAAAAAUAGAAUAUAAACAUGACAUUUUUAACGUCUAAUAUCACAUUAUCCUCAUUGAAUCAUUGAAAUUUAAAGUUUAUUCAUUUGAGUUUAAAAUAUUACCGCAAUUCCUUUUCCUUUAUUCGUUCGAGUUGUUUGAGGAGCUUCAAUUUCAGGAACACUUGGUAAGAUGGUUGAGCUUGUAGAUAUAGUAUUUGCUCUUCUUCUUUUAUAUUCUACAACAAAGAACAAACGUUAAUUGUAAACCAAUUAAUAUAAAGUAUAAAUCAAGCUAUGCAAAACAAAAUAAUUACCUUAUUCACACUCUUGAUAAAAUUCAAGCUCAGCCGAACUUGCUUCAUACUCAAUGUUGCUAAUUGGUUCACAUCUUAACCAAUUUUGGAGGCAUAUCAAUGACUCCAAUGUUUGAGGAAGGAGAGAUGAUCUAAAAGGGUCAAUUACUCACUUUCCUCCACUAAAUGCACUUUCACUGGCAACUAUGGACACUUGAAUUGGCAAGACAUUUUUCGCUAUCAAAGCAAGUGUGGGAUAUGUGCUCCUCCCUUUCAACUUCCACCAUUUCAAAACGUCAAAUUGUGAACCAUAUGGUACUUUCUCUACAAUGUCAAGGAGAUACUUAUCCACCUCAUGUGCAAGCGCAAUAUCUUCGGUGUCUUCUAGUUCAUUCUCCCAAUCAUUUACGAUUUGACUAAAUAUCAUUAGAUUUUCUGUUGGCACACUAGAAGAUGAUUGUUUUACCCUUGAACAAGUAGUGUCAACAAGUAAAUCUUCUCUACCCUUUUGUUGUGUUAUGAACCGAAAGCUUGGUAAGCAUAUUCAUCACACAUUGCCUUCAACAAUGUCUUCACUUCAUUACUUUUCUGUUGAAUCUCUUUUUCAGGAAGCUAUAAUUGCUUUCCACACAAGUGCAUGUAGUGCCUCAAUUUGAACCUUAGGUCUAAGAUAAGGGCAACUACAAAUAUUUGAUUAAGGGAGUCAAUUGAACAAAAAUAUUUUCAAUAUUUGGCUCUCCUGCUAAAUGUCAUAUCACGUAGCACCAACUAUAUACUUUCUCCAGUUUGCAUAUAUUCAGGCAAAAAAAACUUUUCAAUCUCAUUUUCCACAACAUUGACAUCAUGAACAGCUGUAUUAGAUGUGGGAUAUUUACUUGCACUAACUUUCAAAGUUAUAAGAUAGAAGACCUUCAAAAAUUCCACAAACACUUCUACACCAUCCCAAUCUUCCUCUUUAGGUGGUCCAACCCUCCCUUUACUCGCCACUUCUUCUCCUUCAUCAUUAAGCACCUUUUCCCUAAAAUAGGCGGAGUAUAUAUUGGCUUCAUCAUCUUCGGACAUCCUUUCAAAUGCUUUUUUAAACUUUAAGCAAUAUUCUAGCAUCAUGUAUGUGCUAUUCCAUCUAGUAGGCACAUCCAUAACAACUAGACCCAUACUAUCCAACUUCUCAUUCUCCACAUAUUUCUUGAAAUAACUAAACCUUUGGGGACUUGAUCUCACAAACCGCACAACAUUUCUAAGAACAUCCACACUUGUAUCUAAUCUUUUCAACCAAGUUGAUAAUAUGAGCUAAGCACCUCACAUGCAUAAACUUGCCAUUCAUAAUAAUUUUACUAUUAUGCCAUUUCUGCAUUUUACGAACAAUAUACUCAAUUGCCACCUUAUUAGCCGAUGCAUUGUCAACUGAAAUACACAUUACCUUUUCAAUCUCCCACUCAACCAAACAUUGCUCAAUCAUCUUCCCUAUUUCUUUGCCUUCAUGACUUGAAAUCAAACAAAAUUUUAGAAUCAUUUUGUGCAUAUUCCAUUCAUCAUCUACAAAAUGAGCAGUUAGCACCAUGUAGUUCAAAUUUUACACACUUGUCCAUGUAUCAGUAGUCAAGCUCACUCUAUGAUUGUGUAUCUCCCUUUUUAAAUAAUCUUUCAUGGUAUCAUACAUAUUGAAUAACUCCCUCACGAUGGUUCUCCGAGAUGGAACAUGCAAUCUAAGCUGGACUUUGCACAUCAUCCGCCUAAACCCUUCACUCUCCACAACACUAAAAUGUACCUCCUCGAUCACAAUAUACUCAAUAAUACCUUCCACACUUUCUUCUUGGCUCCACCCUUUAGCAACAAGCAUGUUUUUGACAUCCCCCAAAAGGUUCAGAACUGCCUAGAACCUUUUGCAACUCAUUAGUUGGUUUAAAUAACUUGCAAUGUUUAUUGAUAUGUUCAAUGUAAGUACUAGUUCCACCCCCACUAGUAUCACAUGCAAAAAGGGUGUUACAAUAGUUACACUUAGCCUUCAAUACUUGUACCUCCACCAUAUCUUUCUUUCCAUCCUUUUCUACUUCUUGUAUUUCCGAGACGGUACACUUAGUGACAUGAUCCCAAACCCAAGAUCUCUCAGAAGAAGAUCUCUCUAGUGAAGCUAUUAUAGUUGGUUGUUUUGUCUUUAGAAUAUGUGGUGCUUUUCUUUUUCUGGAGGAUGAGGGGUUUGGGGGAGGCAUUGAUGAUUUUGCCUAUGUGGGUUGUGCUUGUGGAAGACAUGGUGAUGUAGCCGUAGAUGAUGCUACAUUAGUAGUAAGGGUACUUUGACUUUGAGAUUGAGACAUUAUGUAAAAAUCUGUAAAAAUUAAAUAAUGGAAGUAUAUUCAUUAAUCAAAUAAAGCUAUUUCGAAAUAUGUACACCAAUUUCAUGAAAUUACCACAAAAUACUAAUCAUCUCAAGAAACCAUUAAAACUUCAGAGUUCAGAUCACGAAUAAAACCAACUACUAAAUCCAUCCCCAUUAAGAGAAAGAAACUAAAUGAAACCAAAUGAAAACAAGAGAAAGACGUGCUCAAUGAAAACAAAGAGAAACCAAAUGAAAGACGUGCUAAAUAAAUCCAUCCCCAUUAAUACUCGAUAUGAAACCAAAUGAAAAUAGGAGAAAGAAACUAUAUGCUAAAAAGAGGAAGAGAGCAAUUUUGAAUCAUGCUAAAUUUGACUUACAUUAGCAAUAUUUUAAAGAAGGGGUGUGAUAUCCACACACCAUUUUUUACUUCUCUCACACCUUUUUGCUUUUUGGCCGUCGGAUCGGAUGAAUUAAAGAAGAUCAACGGACAGAAAUUAACAAGGGUGUGUGAGAAGUAAAAAUGGGUGUGUGAAUAGCACACCCCUUUAAAGAAAAACUAGUUUAAAAAAAAAGUGCAGAUAUAUUAACUAUUAAGUACUUACAUUUGUUGGGUUCCAAAGAAAAGACUAGUGCUUUCUUCCAAUCAAAAGAGUAGCCCCACUUCUCUGGUUCACUUACCUGCAGAAUGAUUAGGAAUAAUUAGGAAUAAGGAGAGAAUCAAACUAUAAGUUCACACACAUUCCCAUAUACUACAGAAACCAAAAUCAUACUAAAUUUGUUUGAGAAGACAUAAACCAAAUCAGAGGCUGUUAUGCUUCUAAAAGAACAUAUGAGCACUCCUAAUGCAAAACAACAUCAAAUGGUCCUUGAUCUGAAAGUGGCUUGUUGACAUCAAUUGUAAUGAAGAAGAUUCCUUUAUUCUUGCAAUGAAGAACAUCCCCUUACAACAAUCUGUAUUAGAGAACCUGUUUAAUGUGCUAAACCUAAAGACAAUAAGAGCACAGCCCCCAAUUACUCAGAAAUUACAAGGAAACAAGGUUGACAUCAGAGGCAACAAAGAAGUAAGCCUACAAGACUAAAAGGAAACAAACAGCCUAGCCUGCAAAGAUUCAGAGAAGUCUGGACACAAAGCCAGGAAUAAUUAGCACUUUAACCCUGCAGAUUAUGAUUGACGAGUGACAACCCAUCUUUGUUUACUUUUACUUUUGUUUGUUGGAUUAGCUAGCACUUUAACAUUCAACAGAAACUAGUAUGUAAAACUUUAAUGUGUUGUUCAUCUGCUACACAUUAGGUUAAUUAAUUUGUGUGUGGGUGUAUGAGUGUCACCCUUCAAAUUCAUGCAGUAAUUGCCAUGGCACUAGUGCCACUGCAGCUAGGCCUUGUCCUCCACCUCCAAUAUAUAUUGAAUUAAUUGCACUUUCAUCCAAGUACCCAUACAUCACUCCAUACAAAAUAAAAACAAAGACUUGUCACAAUAUCACUAAUGCCGGCUUGGUUCUUAAUGUUAUGUUGUAUUUUUAAAUCCAUUUGUAAUUAUAUCGGUCCGUGAAACAAUAAUAUAAAUUGACCAAAUUAAAAUACAGACCAUUGCCAAUGUAUUAUGAAUUAAUUGCGCUUUCAUCAUCCAACAACUCAUACAUUAUUCAAUGAAUAAAAUAAAUAUAUUAAUAAAGAGGAUAAGAUUGAAUAAUAAUAAACAACACUACGAACACGUAUGAUUGAAAGUUGUACUUUUAAACACAUUUGCAAUUUCAUCGGUAGUAUAUAGAAAGAGGGGAAACUUAGUGAACUUAAAACAUGUUUGAAUACUAAGUGAACUAAAGCAGAACAAAUCCCUAAAAAUUGCUUAAGUUCAAAUGGGUUUUCUAUCCGAAAAUCAAAUCUAAUUUCCAAAACAGAUCAAUAUAAGAACAUCUAAAAUUGAAUUGUAUCAUCAUCAACCAAAUCUACACCGGCCAUUGGUGAAACCAAACUCAUACAAUCACCAAAUCACGAACUUUUUGAGAUGCAAUCGAAACACAAAUUGACAACUGUGAACGAUAAGAACUAAGAAGAACUUGACUACAUUGAAUCUGAGAUGACAACUGAGAUUGGAACAUUAGAAAAAACAAACUAAAACUCACCAGAGACAUGGCUGUUCCAGAAAAACGUUUUGCUUAGACUUAGAUCUGAAAUAUGCAAAGCCAAAAAAAACCCAAACUUUGUUAUCAGUGAUUCAGUAUUACAGUGGAAAAAAAAAUGGUAGAUGCAAAAAGAAGAACCCUAAAUGGUGGCAACAGAUCAAUCAUCAAUCUACAAAUGCAAUUCAAAUAUAAAUGACACUGAAUUACAUGGAUUAAACAAGAAUUACAAUCCUACAAAUAAAUGACACUAAAUUUGCCAUGAAAAGUGAAGCUCCACAAUAGGUAAUAACCCAUGGAAAAUCAAAAGAGCAUGUUUGACAGAGAUGCAACUGAAAAUCUAAAACCCAAAUCACUUCCACAGAACCUGAGACCAUGCUUGCAUGCAUCAAUCAAAUCCAAAUGACACGUGGGAAGAUAGUCGACAUUGCCUCGCAUCUACGAGACCCAAAACACAACUUCCCUUCUCCCAUUUGUUCACAAGUGCUCAUAUGGUUUCUAUUCUAUUUUGCGCAAGUAAUAACCCAAAAUUUGUUAUAAGUGAUUCAGUAUUACAGUGGAAAACAAUUGGUAUAUGCGAAGAGAAAAACCCUAAAUGGUGGCAACACAUCAAUCAUCAAUCUACAAAUGCAAUUCAAAUUUUAAGAAAACCCUAAAUGGUGGCAACAGGAUUCAAUCAUCAAUCUACAAAUUCUAACUUAAAACCCCUAAAAUCCCUACACCAGAUAUUCACAAUUUCACAUUAAUAAUAAAACCUAAUUCAAAAUUACCUAAAUUUUAAAGGGAUGAUGGUUGGUAGUGGUACUGGACCACUGGUGGUAGCAGUGUUCGUCGACGGUGGUGAUGGGGUGAUGGUGGUCGCGACGGCGGAUGUGGUACCAUUGUGUUGGUAGCGACGACGCUGUGAGAGUGUGAGAGUUGAAGCUCGAUAGUGGUGAUGGGGUGAUGGGGUGAUGGUGGUUGUGACGGCGGAAGUGGUGCUGUUGUGUUGGUCCCGACGACGUUAAGCAAUGUAAGUGAGAGUCUGAGAGUUGGAGUCGAGGGAAGGGACAGGGAAUGAGUCGAGUCGAGGGAGGGAGAUAUUCUGAGAGACUGAGGGUGAUUCUAGAACUCGGGAGGUGGAAUUGGCUAAAGUAGCCCCGCUUCUCUGGUUCACUUACAUGCAUAAUGAUUAGGAAUAAUUAGGAAUAAGGAGAGAAACAAACUAUAAGUUUACACACAUUCCCGUAUACUACAUAAACCAAAGCCAUGCUAAAUUUGUCGGAGAAGACAGAAACCAAAUCAAAGGUUGUUAUGCUUCUAAAAGAACAUAUGAGCACUCACCUUAUGCAAAACAACAUCAAAUGGUCCUUGAUCUGAAUGUGGCUUGUUUACAUCAAUUGCAAUGAAGAAGAUCCCCUUAUUCCUGCAAUAAAGAAGAUCCCCUUCUAACAAUCUGUAUUAGCAAACCUGUUUAAUGUGCUAAACCUAAAGACAACAAGAGCAGAGCCCCCAAUUAUUGAGAAAUUGCAAGGAAACAAGGUCGACAGUAAAGGCAACAAAGCAGUAAGCCUACAAGACUAAAAGGAAACAAACAGCCUAGCCUGCAAAAAUUCAGAUAAGUCUGGACGCAGAGCCAAGAAUAAUUAGCACUUUAACUUUUGUUUGUGGGAUUAGCUAGCACUUUAACAUUCAACACAAACUAGUAUGAAAAACUUUAAUGUGCAGUUCAUCUGCUACACAUUAAGUUAAUUAAUCUGUGUGUGGGUGUGUGAGUGUCACCCUUCAAAUUCAUGCAGUAUGAGGGGGAAUUCCCACGGCAUUAGUGCCACUGCAGCUAGGCCUUGUCCUCCACCUCCAAUAUAUAUUGAAUUAAUUCCACCUUCAUCCAAGUACCCAUACACCACUCCAUACAAAAUAAAAACAAAGACUUGUCACAAUAUCACUAAUGCCGGCUUGGUUCUUAACGUUAUGUUGUAUUUUUAAAUCCAUUUGUAAUUAUAUCCGUCCGUGAAACAAUAAUAUAAAUUGAUCAAAUUAAAAUACAGACCAUUGCCAAUAUAUUAUGAAUUAAUUGCGCUUUCAUCAUCCAACAACUCAUACAUUAUUCCAUAAAUAAAAUAAAUAUAUUAAUAAAGAGGAGAAGAUGGAAUAAUAAUAAACAACACAACAAACACGUAUGAUUGAAAGUUGUACUUUUUAAACACAUUUACCAUUUCAUCGGUAGUAUAUAGAAAGAGGGGAAACUUAGUGAACUUAAAACAUGUUUGAAUACUAAGUGAACUAAAGCAUAACAAAUCCCUAAAAAUUGCUUAAUUUCAAAUGGGUUUUCUAUCCGAAUCAAAUCUAAUUUCCAAAACAGAUCAAUAUAAGAACAUCUAAAAUUGAAUUGUAUCAUCAUCAACCACAUCUACACCGGCCAUUGGUGAAACCAAACGCUUACAAUCACCGAAUUACGAACUUUUUGAGAUGCAAUAGAAACACAAAUUGACAACUGUGAAUGAUAAGAACUAAGAAGAACUGGACUACAUUGAAUCAGAGACGACAACUGAGAUUGGUACAUUAGAAGAAACAAACUAAAACUCACCAGAGACAUGGUUGUUCCAGAAAAACGUUUCGCUUAGACUUAAAUCUGAAAUACGCAAAGCCAAAAAAAAACCCAAACUUUGUUAUCAGUGAUUCAGUAUUACAGUGGAAAAAAAUUGGUAGAUGCGAAGAGAAUAACCCUAAAUGGUGCAACAGAUCAAUCAUCAAUCUACAAAUGCAAUUCAAAUAUAAAUGACACUGAAUUACAUGGAUUAAACAAGAAUUACAAUUUUACAAAUAUAAAUGACACUGAAUAUGCCAUGAAAAGUUAGGCUCCACAACAGGUAAUAACCCAUGGAAAUUCAAAACAAGCAUGUUCGACAAAGAUGCAACUGAAAAUCUAAAACCCGAAUCACUUCCACAGAACCUGAGACCAUGCUUGCGCGCAUCAAUCAAAUCCAAAUGACACGUGGGAAGAUAGUCGACAUUGCCUCGCAUCUACUAGACCCAAAACACAACUUCCCUUAUCCUCUUUGUUCACGAGUGCUCAUACGGUUUCUAUUCUAUUUUGCGCAGGUAAUAACCUAAAAUUUGUUAUCAGUGAUUCAGUAUUACAAUGGAAAAAAAUUGGUAGAUGCGAAGAGAAGAACCCUAAAUGGUGGCAACACAUCAAUCAUCAAUCUACAAAUGCAAUUCAAAUUUUAAGAAAACCCUAAAUGGUGGCAACAGGAUUCAAUCAUCAAUCUACAAAUUCUAACUUAAAACCCCUAAAAUCCCUACACCAGAUAUUCACAAAUUCACAUUAAUAAUAAAACCUAAUUCAAAAUUACCUAAAUUUUAGAGGGAUGAUGGUUGGUAGUGGUACUGGACCACUGGUGGUAGCAGUGUUCCUCGACGGUGGUGAUAGGGUGAUGGUGGUUGCAACGACGGAGGUGAUGCCAUUGUGUUGGUAGCGACGGCGCUGUGAGAGUCUAAGAGUUGGAGCUCGAUGGUGGCUACGACGGCGGAGGUGGUGCUGUUGUAUUGGUCCUGACGGCAUUAAACACUGUGAGUGAGAGUCUGAGAGUUGGAGUCGAGGGAAGGGACAUGGAGGGAGUCGAGUCGAGGGAAUGAGAGAUUCUGAGAGACUGAGGGUGAUUCUGGAACUCGGGAGGUGGAAUUGGCUAGGGUUGAAACUAACUGUUGAGAUUGGAUGGAGAUAUGAUAUUUUAAAUCUCGUCUGUCCAUUGUAAUUACAAACAGGCCGGUCCGGGUUCUCGCAUUUCUUAUACUUUUAGAACUGGCCCAAACUGAAAACUUCAAAGGCCAGGCCCGGCCCGCCUCGUAUCGUUCUGUUUUUACAAAAUUAGGAACUGGUCCGUACCCGCCCCGACCAGCAAUUCCUGUACCCAUUUGCCCACCCCUUUAUACAACGAUCUUGAUCUGAUUUCUUUGACAUGUUGAAUUUGCUGGUGGGGCGUUGAGAUGCGGUGAAUAUGUGACAUUACGCAAAGCUGGAGAUGCAAGCCAUAAGGUUGGUCAUAUACAGAUAUGCUAAUAGUACUAGCACCUAAAUUUUGGGCACAAUAGUUCCAUAGCAAGAGUUAUGGUUUGCGAAUGGAAAGUCUGACAAGCGUAUGUAUAAUUUGAUCUUUUGUAGGGUGGGGGUUCCGGCACCCAACGAAUUGUGAUCAAAGACCCCUUAUGUGAGGAUUGUUACAAGAUUCGGGAGUAUCUCUACUCACAAUUUUAUUUGCUUUAAGAUCAUCUCCAAUCCUUGGGGAUAAAGCUUAAAAUUUUAAGCCAUAAGUCAGAAUCUGAUUUUCCUUUACAACCCUUAUGGCUUAAAAUUUUAGAUGAUCAAAUAAUGAUUUUAGCCUAACUUUUUGUUUUUGGUAACUUUUUUUGAAAAUAAAAUUUAUGUAGAUUAUCUUAAUUUAUUUUUAUGAACAUUUUAGUCUAAAAAUAUUUAAAUUCUGAUAAGUAAUUAAAAAUCAUACAAAUACAUAGGUGUUUAUAAAGUUUUAAGUUAAAUUUGAUUUAAAUAAUUUUCUUAAUUUUGGGCCGUCAAAUCUUUUUUUUUACUAUUAGAUUUGAUCUCAUUUCAUCGUAGCAGUUAGAUUAUAAGUAAAAAAACAAAAAAAAGUUUGAAAUAUAACAAUUUGGUGGGUUCAAAAUAAUUUAAGCCAGGCUUAAAUCCCGGGAGGAAUUUAGCUUAGAGAUAUAUUUUCUCUCCCGGACUUAUUUUAACCCAUGAUUGGAAAUGGUUUGGGAGGGUUUUUAAAACUUAUAUUUUAAGCUUUAUUUCAUGAGUUGGUGAUGGUCUAAGGGGAGAGACAUAAUAUCUAACGCUUUCGGAUGAACUAACAUUUAAUCGCGAUAUUAACUUCUAGUGAUUCGAGGAAACACACUAAAGUUUAAUUUCAAUGCAGGCCUUAUUUUUGGACCCGGUUUCUCUGCCCUCCCAAUUCCCAUACACUCUCAUCUCUUCCUAUUUUGUGCAAUCACGCUUAAGCCACAUCAACAUUUUAUAUUGAUUUUUUUAUAGAGAUAAUAAGACAAAAAAUAAUAGUGAUAUAAAAUAUUAACGUGACUUAACUGUAAUCGCAUAAAUAGGAGGAGACGAGAGCGUAUAGGGCUAGGAGGGCAGUGUCAUGGUCAGACAUUUUAAGUGAAAGUGACAAUAUGUGCAGCUGAGUCAAUGCAUUGGAAACCUGGUUCCUCAUCAAUAUGCUUAUAAAGUAUGGAAACUAAUAAUUGUUGAGCAAACGCAGUUGCUCUUUGUCUGAUUGCUUACGAUUCACCAUGGAAACCUGGUUCCUUAUCCUCAUCGCCCUCUGCGUCUCCUUCCUCCUCAAACCCCUUCUCUCUCUAUUCCUACCCACUUCCAUCUCCAGACCCAAUCUCCCUCCCGGGCCUCGCUUCUUCCACAUCAUCGAAGGCUUCUUAUUCCUCCUCAAAUCUUCCUUGGAGCUCGAGCCUAUUAUCCGCAAACUCCAGGCCGAAUACGGGCCCAUCAUCUCCCUCCCCAUCGGCUCCCGCUCUACCGUCUUCGUCGCCGAUCGCUCCCUCGCCCACCAGGCCUUAAUCCAGAACGGAGCCGUGUUCGCCGACCGCCCCCUGGCCUUGGCCACCAACAAGUGCGUCAGCAGCAACCAGCACACUAUCGGCUCCGCCGUCUACGGCCCCUUGUGGCGCCUCCUACGCCGCAACCUCACCUCUGAAAUCCUUCACCCUUCCCGCGUCAAAUCCUACGGCAACGCCCGCAAAUGGGUUCUCGACAUCCUCGUCAACCGCCUCAAAACCGAGUCUCAAUCCCACUCCGAAGCUGCCGCCACCGGAGUCAGGGUGGUCGACCACUUCCAAUACGCCAUGUUCUGCCUCCUGGUUCUGAUGUGCUUCGGCGACAAAUUGAACGAAGAGCAAAUCAAAGAAAUCAAGCGCGUGCAGCGCCAACUACUUUUGAGUUUCGGGCGGUUCAAUAUCCUCAAUUUCAAGCCGAAAUUGACGAAGAUUAUCUUCAAAAAUCGGUGGCGGCAAUUAUUUAAAAUCCUCGAGGAACGACGAGAAGUGCUCCUCCCUCUGAUUCGAGCACGACAAAAUAGGGCAAAGCAGGGCAGCAAAACCGACGACAAAGAUGAUGAAUUUGUGUUGUCGUAUACAGAUACGCUGCUGGACCUCGAGCUUCCCGACGGCAACGAAAAGCGGAAGCUUUCGGAGGGAGAAAUGGUCAGCCAAUGCUCAGAGUUUCUGGAUGCCGGCACCGACACGACUUCCACCGCGCUGCAGUGGAUCAUGGCCAACGUAGUGAAGUACCCGCAAGUUCAGGAGAAGCUGUUUGCCGAGAUUAAAGGGGUGAUGGGAGAAACGGAGGACGAGGUGCGGGAGGAGGUCCUGCACAAGCUGCCGUAUCUGAAAGCCGUGAUCUUGGAGGGGCUGAGGCGCCACCCGCCGGCGCACUUUGUGCCGCGCGCGGUGACGCAUGACGUGGAUUUGGGCGGACACGUGGUGCCCAAGAACGGGAGUGUUAGUUUCAUGCUGGCGAGUAUAGGGUGGGACCCGCAAGUGUGGGAGGACCCCAUGGCGUUCAAGCCGGAGAGGUUCUUGGGCAGCAGUGGAGGAGAAGAAGGGUUCGAUUUGAGGGGGAGCAGGGAGAUUAAGAUGAUGCCGUUUGGGGCAGGGAGGAGGAUCUGUCCAGGGUCGGGAUUGGCGGUGCUUCACCUGGAGUACUUUGUGGCGAAUUUGGUGUGGAAAUUUGAGUGGAGAACUGUGGAGGGAGAUGACGUGGACCUGUCAGAGAAGCAGGAGUUUACUAUAGUGAUGAAGAAUCCAUUGCAUGCCCACGUAAUCCCUAGAAUUUAAUACGUGUGAGAAUUCUGUACUAAUUAUUCGGUGCAUAUUCAACCGUUGAAUCUAUCCAUGUAUGCUUUUCAUUGAUUAUGUAAUUUUGAAAAUUUAGAUUUUUAGUUUACUAGUCUGAUUCAAGACGGAUUUUAUAACUUCAAUAUUUAGAGAGUGAUUUGAGUGAGCUGUAUUUGCUACUUUUUAGCUUAUAACUAAUACAACUUUCAAAUCUUGGGAAGACAACUUCUGCAUUUAGAGACUGCCCAAGAGCAAGGAGCAUUUGAGAAAUUGAUGGGAUUGCCUACAUAGGUACAACUCUCCUUUAAUCUUUGUGUUACAGCUUGUCUAAUGACUAAUUCGAAAUCCAAGUUACCGUGGUUUGAACAAAUUCGAUGGAGUAGUGUUUUUAUUUUUACCUUCGUAUAUAUGGAAAUGAAAGAAUAAACAACUCUUUGAAGACAACUUCUUUCCGACAAAGGUGUUCAAUUACCAUUUCCGUUCAUUGCUUAAUUUGUUAGACUAUGCUUCGUCCCUAAAAUUCGUCAUCUGAAGUAAUCUCAAGUUUUCAACAUCAUGUUUUGAGCCCCAGAGAUAAGGUUAAGCUCUAUGGAACUACUAUAUUUACAGCGAUCUCGAUCUGAUAUGCUAAGGGUGCGUUUGUUGCGCCGGACUGUCUCGGAUUGGACUAGCUGCCGGGACUAAGCUGGACUGGCUUAGACUGGACUAAGCUGGACUAACUUAGUGAAGCGUUUGGUGUAAUGUCGGACUAAGAAGCAGGAUAAGAAAAACAGUACUGUUCACCAGAUUUGUGUUUGCUUAGACUAGGAUUACAAAUUUUUGCCAUUGUGUAAUAGAGUAAUGCUACAAAUCUCAUGAUAUGGGUUAAUUGGAGCAUAUUUUUGCCAUGUAUAUUAUGAAUCUUAAAAAAAAAUUGACAAUUGUUUUGUUUCUAUUACCUGCUAAUAGAAUUGGGUUUAAUUUGCAAAUGUAGCUUGGUUUAAACUCUAUCACCCAACAGAAGAAAAAUAAUAGUGCCCAAUACAUGCAACUUCAACAAAUACAAGUACAUAAGAAGAUCUCCAUAAUUUAGAAAAUCCUAGUUAACAUUAGCCAAAAUAGAUCUCCAUAAUUUACAAAAUGGCUAGUUAACAUAAGCCAAAAUACUAGUGCAAAGCUAAGUUAUAAGCCAUAACAUAAGAUUGUAUGAUUAAUAAAAUACAUCCAUGUUAACAUUAAUAAAAUACAUCCAUGUUAACAUUAGCCAAAAUCCUCAUCCGCUUGCGUUGUCGCUUAAAAGCCUUUGGACGAACACUUUCUUGAGUUCCGGUUUGAUUGCCCUGAACACUCCCACAUUUUUUGGUUUAUCCAAAAUAAGAGACAAUGCAUCAAUUUGAUCCAUAGGAGAGAGACCCAUUGCUUCAAGUUCAUUAGCUAUGUCAGUAUGAUCUGCAGUACCUUGAACUAAAGCUUCAGUUACCAUUUGCAUCCUCUUCCCACUUUCAACAUAAAAAUCUUUCAGUCCACUGAUAAUUGCCUCGGUUCCAUCACUUGAACUUCCCACAGCUCUUUUCCUCUUUCUUUGGCUAUUUUCAGAUGGGGUGCUUUGUUGGCUUUUGUUGGUUCAUUGAAGAAACAAAAUUUUCACCUCCAAUAUCACUUUCACCAACAUGAUCAUAACUUUGUUCCUCCACCAUUUGAGCAGGGGUUUCGGCUACAUUACCCGUAGCCCGAUCUUUUCCAAAUAUAUAUGCAAAUCUAUCAAACAGUGGAAAAGGUUUGCUUCUCCAUCCAUCGGCUUCUUUAUUUCUCUAAGAUUAUAUCAACAUAGCAAAACUAAAAUUUAGCAUGCGUAACAAAUAUAGCAGCAAUAAUAUAACUAAUGUAUAAAUAAAAUAGGAUAUGAACCUGCACAUAAGUUUGCCAUGAGUCAUCACUGUCAACUUCAACGCACUUUUUGACAUCAUUCCAUGCAAAUCCACUUGUGUUUAUCAUGUCAACGACCAUACUAUAUGUUUUUUUUUCCAUUUCUUCAACUUGGACUCAAUAUGUAGAUUUGCCUUUAUAUUUGAAUGAGGACAUAAAACAUUGACAGCUUUUGCUAUUUCAACCAAAGUACCUUGUUUGAAAGCACCGGUGUCACACCGUUGCUUCCGAGCAACAAAAUCCUCAAGAACUCCUAGUAAUACUUCUUCCUCAAAUGCUUCCCAUUUACGCCUUCUUCCUUUUGGCUCUUGAGUAGCAUUCAAAAUAUUUUCGUUAUCCAUACCUAAACAAAAAAUAUUUUAAUGAAGGAAAAUACCAUACAAAUAAUCAAUCUGCAUAAUAUCCAAUCAACUUACAUAAUAUCCAAUCAACUUGCAUAAUAUCCAAUUAAUUUGCAUACCAUCCAAUCAUUGUGCUAAUAUCUAACAAAUGCAUGAUAAAAAGGAAUACUAAAAUAAAAUGUUAUCAUUAACACAUAUAGCUAGUUCGGUUGCUGGUUCCUAAUUGCUCUCCACUCGUUAUACAUUUCCUGAGCCAUAUCAUUCCUCUUUGCAGUCCACUGGUCAGAUGUUUGAACACUACCAACAUAUUCACCUUCUUCUGUAUUUUGUCCAUCUUCUAUUAUUGGCAAAUUCUCCAUUGGAUCUACAGACAUCUCUUGCCUAAUAAGAUUGUGUAGUAGGCAACAAGCGGUAAUUAUUCGACCUUGUGUCCUUAUCGGAUAGAAAGAUGGACUCCUUAGUAUCGACCACCUUCCUUUUAGCAAGCCAAAACAGCGUUCAAUUACAUUCCUUGCCUUAGAAUGAUUCAUGUUAAAAUAUUCUUCCUUAUUAGAAGGUGUUCGUCCCUCCCAUUCAGAUAAAUGAUAAGGUAUUCCUCUAUAGGGUGCAAGGAAUCCUUCACCAUUUGUAUAACCACCAUCUACAAGGUAAUAAUAACCUAAUGAAAAAAAAAACAGACCUUAUUAGUGUUUUGUAGUUGACAAACAGAACUAGACCUAACUUACAAAGUUGAGACUAAGUAAUAGUCUUACCCGCUGGUACCUUAAAACCAUUAGGCAUAGUAAUUGCAUCAUGUAGCACUCUAGAGUCUGAUGCGGAACCCUCCCACCCCAGAAACACAUAUAUGAACUGCAUAUCUCCUGAACACACACCUAACACAUUAGUUGCGACUCGACCCUUUCUUGUUCGGUAUCUUGGUUUGUCAAUUUCAGGUACAUGCACAUCAAUGUGUGUUCCAUCCAAUGCUCCCAAACAAUUCUUAAAAAAAAAAAAAAAAAAAAAAAGUUUUUGUUAAUUUAUACAAAGGGAAUGAAGAGUUAAAGCUUAGGGAAAAUGAAAAAAAAUUCUCAUCAUACCUUAAAACAUCGCCACCUAGGAUCUGUAGAAUCAAUAGGCACAGGCUGUGGGACUUUCAGUAGGAUACCUUGUAAUCGCAAAAUUCCUUGCAAUACGCUAUUAAAAUACCUACUUAUAGUCUCUCCCGACCUAUAAAAUCUACCGCCAACACUACGAUUCUUAGUAUGAUGUGCUAAUAUUUGUAAAGUCAUACACACCUGCUCCUCUACAGACACCAAACCAUCAGUUUUUACCCUCACAUCUUGACGAAGUAAGUCACAUAAUAUGUCAAAAGUCCUUCUAUCCAUUCUCAAUUCGUUGACACAUUCAGUAUCAGUAUUCCCUAUUAUACCAUUCAGAUAACACAAACUAAUCUCUCGUCUAAUAAGUGAACGGUUAGUCAAUGUGGGUCGUUCAACAUGUCUCUGUUUGCCACGUAGCAUCAUCAACACAAGAAUCGUACAAAUGCAAAUUGUCUCCAAAUAAGACAUCUCUAACAAUAAGAUCAAUAAAAGCUUCCUUCGAUCCAUAUCUAUCCAAACAAAAAAAAAAACAAAAAACAAAUUAAGGACAUUAUAUAUGUAAUAUUUACUGUUAUUAAGGGUGAUGGAAAUGAAGUGAUUAUGAUACGAAAUGAACUAGAUCAAAGUAACUAGCGAAGUCACAAUCCGAGGCAUCAAAUAUACGGGUGGUGUUGGAAAAAAAAAGCUAUCAUUAACCCGAGGCAACAAAUAUACAGGUGGCGUUGAAAAAAAAAAUUAUCAUUAACCCGAGGCAACAAAUAUACAGGUGGCGUUGAAAAAAAAAAAGUUAUCAUUAACCCGAAGCAUCAUAUUCAAAAUGUUCUACUCUUAUACAUCUAUAAACAUGUGUCUAAGAACACUAGUAUGAGGAUUGCUAUCAUUGCUAGGCAUUGCAUAUGAAGAGGGAAAUUAAAGGACACCUGUAAUGCAGUAGCCUUAGCCUUAGCCUUCUGUUUAUGCUCCUCUUCUCUGCAACCAACAACCACAAAAAAUUGCAAUUCAGCAUCAACCCCACACAAUACAAAACAUUCACAUUGUAAUAUCAUGGUUAUAAACCAAGUACACACACACACACUCAUGGACAAAUGUGCAAAAUACACAUACAUACUCACACUCACACUCACACUAACACACACACACGAACAUACACACUCUCACACACGGACAUACACUCACACACACUCAUGGACAAAUGUGCAAAAUACACAUACAUACUCACACUCACACUCACACUAACACACACACAUGGACAUACACACUCUCACACACGGACAUACACUCACACACACCCUGCAUACAUACAUACACACACACACACACACACUGCAUACAUACAUACACACACACACACACACUGCAUAUAUACAUACACACACACACACAUACUCACACUGCAUACACACACACACACACACUGCAUACAUAGACACACACACACACUGCAUACAUACACACACACACACACACACACACACACACACACUGCAUACAUACACACACACACACACGGCAUACAUACACACACACACACACACACUGCAUACAUACACACACACACACACACUGCAUACAUACACACACACACACACUGCAUACACACACACACUGCAUACACACACACAAACAUACUCACACGGACAUACACACUCUUACACACGGACAUACACUCACACACACCCUGCAUACAUACAUACAUACACACACACACACACUGCAUACAUACAUACACACACACACACUGCAUACAUAGACACACACACACACACUGCAUACAUAGACACACACACACACUGUAUACACACACACACACACACUGCAUACAUACACACACACACACACACACUGCAUACAUACACACACACACACACACGGCAUACAUACACACACACACACACACACUGCAUACAUACACACACACACACACACGGCAUACAUACACACACACACACACACACACACUGCAUACAUACACACACACACACACUGCAUACAUACACACACACACACACACUGCAUACAUACACACACACACACUGCAUACAUACACACACACACACACACUGCAUACAUACACACACACACACACACUGCAUACAUACAUACACACACACACACACACACGGCAUACAUACACACACACACACACUGGUCAGCUGCACACACUGCACUCACACAGACAUACACACUCUCACACACGGACAUACACUCACACACACACUGCAUACAUACACACACACACACACACUGCAUACAUACACACACACACACACACUGCAUACAUACACACACACACACACACUGCAUACACACACACACACACACACACACACUGCAUACAUAGACACACACACACACUGCAUACAUACACACACACACACAUUGCAUACAUACAUACACACACACGGCAUACAUACACACACACACACUGCAUACACACACACACACAUACACUGCAUACAUAGACACACACAUACACUGCAUACAUACACACACACACACACUGCAUACAUACACACACACACACACACACUGCAUACAUUCACACACACACACACACACGGCAUACAUACACACACACACACACUGCAUACAUACACACACACACACACACUGCAUACAUACACACACACACACACACACACACACACACACACACACACACACACACUGCAUACAUACACACACACACAUUGCAUACAUACACACACACACACACUGCAUACAUACACACACACACACACUGCAUACACACACACACUGCAUACACACUCACACACAUACACACUCUCACACACGGACAUACACUCUCACACACUGACAUACACUCACACCCUGCAUACAUACACACACACACUGCAUACACACACACACACUGCAUACACACACACACACACACUGCAUACACACUCACACACAUACUCACACGGACAUACACACUCUCACACACGGACAUACACUCACACACACCCUGCAUACAUACAUACAUACACACACACACACACUGCAUACAUACAUACAUACACACACACACACUGCAUACAUACACACACACACACACACACAGAUUACACACACACACACAGAGUAUACACAAACAGAGAUUACACGCACACAUAGAGUAUACACACACACACAGACAAACCAGAGUACACACACACAUAGUAUACACACACAUGCACACACACACAGACACACACAGAGAUUACACACACAGAUUCUAAUCUCAAUUUGACCUAAAAAUUGAUUUUGAAGUUUACCAGAAAAGUUGAAAUACGAAAACCCCAAAUUCUAAUCUGAAUUUGAACUAAAAAUAUGAAAACCCCAAAUUCUAAUCUCAAUUCGACGAAAUCAAUCGAAGAUUUGAAGCUUACCAGACUGUCUCCGACCAGAUGAGGGCGAGAAUACGCAGAGAUGAGGGUGAGGAUGACGACGACGAGGAAGCAGGGCAAGGUCGACGACGAGCGACGAGCAGGACGAAGGACGUUGGGGAUCCUCGCAGAGAUGAGGACGAGCAGGACGUUGGGGAUCCUCGCGGUUUUCUCUCCGAGCUUACGAGUCCGCCCAAAAUUGGGGUUCUUCGUUAAGAACUCGUAAUGAGGCGUGUAAUCCGAGCGAGUCCCACCUAAGCCCAUUAAAGCUAAUCCGGUUGCACACCAAACACAGGACUAUAGUCUAGUCCAGUCCAAGCCUUGCUAAUCCUGUCAAACAAACGUGCCCUAAUAGUAUUAGCACCCAAGUUUUUGGUACAACAGUUGCAUUUUUGCAGAUCGAAAAUAUGACUAGCGUAUUUAUAUUUUUUAUCUUUUUUGUAGGGUGGUGGUUUUGGCACCCAACAAAUUGUGAUCGAAUGCCCCUUAUGCGAGGAUUAUUACAAGAUUCGGGAGCAUCUCCACUCACAAUUUUAUUUGCUUUAAGUAGAGAUACAUAAUAUCAAACGCCUUCGGAUGAACUGUCAUUUAGUCGCGAUGUUAAUUUAUAGUGAUUUCACAACACUAAAAGGUACCUCCUCGAUCACAAUAUACUCAACAAUACCUUCCACACUUUCUUCUAGGCUCCACCCUUUAGCAACAAGCUUGUUUUUGACAUCCUCAAAAGGUCCAGAACUGCCUAGAACCUUUGGCAACUCAUCAGUUGGUUUAUAUGACUUGCAAUGUUUAUUGAUAUGUUUAAUGUAAGCACUAGUUCCACCCCCCACUAGUAACACAUGAAAAAAGGGCAUUACAAUGGUUACACUUAGCCUUCCAUACUUGUACCUCCACCAUCUCUUUCUUUCCAUCUUUUUCUACUUCAUGUAUUUUCGAGACGGUACACUUAGUGACAUGAUCCCAAACCCAAGAUCUCUCAGAAGAAGAUCUCUCUAGUGAAGCUAUUAUAGUUUGUUGUCUUGUCUUUGGAAUAAGUGGUGCUUUUCUUUUUUUUUGGAGGAUGAGGGGUUUUGGGGAGGUAUUGAUGAUUUUGCCUGUGUGGGUUGUGCUUGUGUUGGUUGUGGAGGACAUGGUGAUGUAGCCAUAGAUGAUGCUACAUUAGUACUAGGGGUACUUUAACUUUGAGAUCGAGACAAUAUGUAAAAAUUUGUAAAAAUUAAAUAAUGGAAGUAUAUUCAUUAAUCAAAUAAAGAUAUUUUGAAAUAUGCACACCAAUUUCAUGAAAUUACCACAAAAUACUAAUCAUCUUAAGAAACCAUUAAAACUUUAGAGUUCAGAUCACGAAUAAAACCAACUACUAAAUCCAUCCCCAUUAAGAGAAAGAAACUAAAUAAAACCAAAUGAAAACAAGAGAAAGACGUGCUAAAUGAAAACAAAGAGAAACCAAAUGUAAGACGUGCUAAAUAAAUCCAUCCCCAUUAAUACUCGAUAUGAAACCAAAUGAAAAUAGGAGAAAGAAACUAUAUGCUAAAAAGAGGGAUAGAGCAAUUUUGAAUCAUGCUAAAUUUGACUUACAUUAGCAAUAUUCAAAGAAAAACUAGUUAAAAGAAAAACGUGCGGAUCUAUUAACUAUUAAGUACUUACAUUUAUUGGGUUCCAAAGAAGAAGACUAGUACUUUCUUCCAAUCAACAGAGUAGCCCCACUUCUCUGGUACACUUACCUGCAGAAUGAUUAGGAAUAAUUAGGAAUAAAGAGAUAAUCAAACUAUAAGUUUACACACAUUCUUGUAUACUACAGAAACCAAAACCAUGCUAAAUUUGUCUGAGAAGACAAAAACCAAAUCAGAGGCUGUUAUGCUUCUAAAAGAACAUAUGAGCAGUCACCUUAUGCAAAACAACAUCAAAGGGUCCUUGAUCUGAAAGUGGCUUGUUUACAUCAAUUGCAAUGAAGAAGAUCCCCUUAUUCCUGCAAUGAAGAAGAUCCCCUUACAACAAUCUGCAUUAACAAACCGGUUUAAUGUGCUAAACCUAAGGACAACAAGAGUAGAGCCCCAAAUUACUGAGAAAUUGCAAGGAAACAAGGUCGACAACAGAGGCAACAAAGCAGUAAACCUACAAGACUAAAAGGAAACAAACAGCCUAGCCUGCAAAGAUUCAGAGAAGUCUGGGCGCAGAGCCAGGAAUAAUUAGCACUUUAACCCUGCAAAUUAUGAUUGACGAGUGACAACCCAUCUUUGUUUACUUUUACUUUUGUUUGUUGGAGUAGCUAGCACUUUAACAUUCAACAGAAACUAGUAUGUAAAACUUUAAUGUGCUGUUCGUCUGCUACACAUUAAGUUAAUUUAUCUAUGCGUGGGUGUGUGAGUGUCACCCUUCAAAUUCAUGCAGUAUGAGGGGGAAUUCCCAUGGCCCUAGUGCCACUGCGGCUAGGCCUUGUCCUCCACCUCCAAUAUAUAUUGAAUUAAUUGCACUUUCAUCCUAGUACCCAUACACCACUCCAUACAAAAUAAAAAUAAAGACUUGUCACAAUAUCACUAAUGCCGGCUUGGUUCUUAACGUUAUGUUGUAUUUUUAAAUCCAUUUGUAAUUAUAUCGGUCCGUGAAACAAUAAUAUAAAUUGAUCAAAUUAAAAUACAAACCAUUGCCAAUAUAUUAUGAAUUAAUUGCGCUUUCAUCAUCCAACAACUCAUACAUUAUUCCAUGAAUAAAAUAAAUAUAUUAAUAAAGAGGAGAAGAUGGAAUAAUAAUAAACAACACAACGAACACGUAUGAUUAAAAGUUGUACUUUUUAAACACAUUUGUAAUUUCAUCGGUAGUAUAUAGAAAGAGGGGAAACUUAGUGAACUUAAAACAGGUUUGAAUACUAAGUGAACUAAAGCAGAACAAAUCCCUAAAAAUUGCUUAAGUUCAAAUGAGUUUUCUAUCCGAAAAUAAAAUCUAAUUUCCAAAACAUAUCAAUAUAAGAACAUCUAAAAUUGAAUUGUAUCAUCUUCAACCAAAUCUACAUCGGCCGUUUGUGAAACCAAAUGCAUACAAUCACCGAAUUACGAACUUUUUGAGAUGCAAUCGAAACACAAAUUGACAACUGUGAAUGAUAAGAACUAAGAAGAACUAGACUACAUUGAAUCAAAGACGACAACUGAGAGUGGAAACGUUUCGCUCAGACUUAGAUCUGAAAUAUGCAAAGCAAAGAAAAACCCAAACCUUGUUAUUAGUGAUUCAAUAUUAGAGUGGAAAAAAAUUGGUAGAUGCGAAGGGAAGAACCCUAAAUGGUGGCAAUAGAUCAAUCAUCAAUCUACAAAUGCAAUUCAAAUAAAAAUGACACUGAAUUACAUGGAUUAAACAAGAAUUACAAUCUUAUAAAUAUAAAUGACAAUGAAUGUGCCAUGAAAAGUGAAGCUCCACAACUGGUAAUAACGCAUGGAAAAUCAAAAUAAGCAUGUUCGACAUAGAUGCAACUGAAAAUCUAAAACCUGAAUCACUUCCAUAGAACCUAAGACCAUGCUUGCAUGCAUCAAUCAAAUCCAAAUGACACGUGGGAAGAUAGUCGACAUUGCCUCGCAUCUACUAGAACCAAAACACAACUUCCCUUCUCCCCUUUGUUCACGAGUGCUCAUACGGUUUCUAUUCUAUUUUGCACAGGUAAUAACCCAAAAUUUGUUAUCAAUGGUUCAAUAUUACAGUGGAAAAAAAUUGGUUGAUGCAAAGAGAAGAACCUUAAAUUGUGGCAACAGAUCAAUCAUCAAUCUACAAAUGCAAUUCAAAUUUUAAGAAAACCCUAAAUGGUGGCAAUAUGAUUCAAUCAUCAAUCUACAAAUUCUAACUUAAAAAGGUCGUACCCAGUGCACAAGGCUCCCGCUUUACGCAGGGUCUGGGAGAGGUGAAUGUCGGCUAGCCUUACCCCCAUUUUAUGGAGAGGCUGCUCCCAAGUCUCGAACCCGAGACCUACCGCUCAUGGGCGAAGGCACUUGCCAUCGCACCAAGUGCGACCUCUUCUACAAAUUCUAACUUAAAACCCCUAAAAUCCCUACACCAGAUAUUCACAAUUUCGCAUUAAUAAUAAAUCCUAAUUCAAAAUUACCUACAUUUUAGAGGGAUGAUGGUUGGUAGUGGUAUUGGACCACUGGUGGUAGCGGUAUUGAACCACUGGUGGUAGCAGUGUUCCUCGACGGUGGUGAUGGGAUGAUGAUGGUCGCGAUGGCGGAGGUGGUGCCGUUGUGUUGGUAGCGACGAAGCUGUGAAAGUCUGAAAGUUGGAGCUCAAUGGUGGUGAUGGGGUGAUGGUGGUCGCGACGGUGGAGGUGGUGCUGUUGUGUUAGUCCCAACGUCGUUAAGCACUGUGAGUUAGAGUCUGAGAGUUGGAGUUAAGGGAAAGGACAAGGAGGGAGUCGAGUCGAGGGAGGGAGAGAUUCUGAAAGACUGAGGGUUGUUUUGGAACUCGGGAGGUGGAAUUGGCUAGAGUAGCCCCACUUCUCUGGUUCAUUUACCUACAGAAUGAUUAGGAAUAAUUAGGAACAAUGAGAGAAACAAACUAUAAGUUUACACACAUUCCCGUAUACUACAAAAACCAAAACCAUGCUAAAUUUGUCUUAGAAGACAAAAACCAAAUCAAAGGCUUUUAUGCUUCUAAAAGAACAUAUGAGCACCCACCUUAUGCAAAACAACAUCAAAGGGUCCUUGACCUAAAAGUGGCUUGUCUACAUCAAUUGCAAUGAAAAAGAUCCCCUUAUUCCUGCAAUGAAGAAGAUCCCCUUACAACAAUCUGUAUUAGCAAACCUGUUUAAUGUGCUAAACCUAAAGACAACAAGAGCAGAGCCCCCAAUUACUGAGAAAUUGCAAGGAAACAAGGUCGACAGUAGAGGCAACAAAGCAGUAAGCCUACAAGACUAAAAGGAAACAAAUAGCCUAGCCUGCAAAGAUUUAAAGAAGUCUGGGCGCAGAGUUAGGAAUAAUUAGCACUUUAACCCUACGGAUUAUGAUUGACAAGUGACGACCCAUCUUUGUUUACUUUUACUUUUUUUUGUUGGAUUAGCUAGCACUUUAACAUUCAACAGAAACUAGUAUGUAAAAUUUUAAUGUGCUGCUUAUCUGCUACACAUUAAGUUAAUUAAUCUAUGCGUGGGUGUGUGAGUGUCACCCUUCAAAUUCAUGCAGUAUAAGGGGGGAAUUCCCAUGGCACUAGUGCCACCGUAGCUAGGCCUUGUCCUCCCCCUCCAAUAUAUAUUGAAUUAAUUGCACCUUCAUCCAAGUACCCAUACACCACUCCAUACAAAAUAAAAACAAAGACUUGUCACAAAUAUCACCAAUGCCGGCUUGGUUCUUAACGUUAUGUUGUAUUUUUAAAUCCAAUUGUAAUUAUAUCGGUCCGUGAAACAAUAAUAUAAAUUGAUCAAAUUAAAAUACAGACCAUUGUCAAUGUAUUAUGAAUUAAUUGCGCUUUCAUCAUCCAACAACUCAUACAUUAUUCAAUGAAUAAAAUAAAUAUAUUAAUAAAGAGGAGAAUAUGGAAUAAUAAUAAACAACACAACGAACACGUAUGAUUGAAGGUUGUACUUUUUAAACAUAUUUGCAAUUUCAUCGAUAGUAUAUAGAAAGAGGGGAAACUUAGUGAACUUAAUUUUGGGCCGUCAAAUCUGUUUUUACUAAUAUAUUUGAUCUCAUUUGAUCGUAGCCGUUAGAUUAUAAGUAAAAAAACAAAAAAAAAGUUUGAAAUAUGAUAAUUUAGUGGGUUCAGAAUAAUUUAAGCCAAGCUUAAAUCCUGGGAGGAAUCUAGCUGAGAAAUAUAUUUUCUCUCCCAGGCUUAUUUUAGCCCAUGAUUGGAGAUGGUUUGGGAGUGUUUUAAAACAUAUAUUUUAAGUUUUAUUUCAUGAGUUGGUGAUGGUCUAAGGGGAGAGACAUAAUAUCUAGGAUUUGGAUUCUCUCAUGAGCUAAUGGAGAGGAUCCUCCUGACCAACAUAUGUGGACCGUUGGAUGAAAAUUCAACGGCUACAAACAGAAUGUUCUUUUAAAGUUAUAAUAAUUAUAGCCGUUGAAUUUUCAUCUAACGGUCCAUAUACGUUGCUUAGGAGGAUCCUCUCCUUAAGCUCAGGAGAGGAUCCAAAUCCUAAUAUCUAACGCUUUCGGAUAAACCGACAUUUAAUCACGAUAUUAACUUCUAGUGAUUCGAGGAAACAUACUAAAGCUUAAUUUCAGUGCCGGCCUUAUUUUUGGACCCAGCUUCUCUGCCCUUCCAGUUCUCAUACACUCCCAUCCCCUCCUAUUUUGUUUCGUGCGGUCACGAUUAAUCCACGUCAAUAUUUUAUAUUGAUCUUUUUAUAGAGAUAAUAAGACAAAAAGUAAUAGUGAUAUAAAAUGUUAACAUAGUUUAACUGUUAUCGCAAAAAUAAGAGGAGAUAAGAGUGUAUGAAAACUAGGAAUGCAGAGAAGCCAGGUCCCUUAUAUUUUGUCGAACUUGUCAUGGUCAGACAUUUUAAGUGAAAGUGACAAUAUGUGCAGCUGAGUCAAUGCGGUCGAAACCUGGUUCCUUAUCAAUCUCCUUACAAAGUAUCGAAACUAAUAAUUAUUGAGCAAACGCAAUUGCCCUUUUGUCUGAUUGCCGACGGUUGACCAUGGAAACCUGGUUCCUGAUCCUCAUCGCCUUCUGCGUCUCCUUCCUCCUCAAACCCCUUCUUUCCCUAUUCCUACCCACUUCCAUCUCCAAACCCAAGCUCCCUCCUGGGCCCCGCGUCUUCCCCGUCAUCGGCGGCUUCUUAUUCCUCCUCAAAUCCUUCUCGGAGCUCGAGCCUAUCAUCCGCAAACUCAAGGCCAAACACGGGCCCAUUAUCUCCCUCCGCAUCGGCUCCCGCCCGGCCGUCUUCAUCGCCGACCGCUCCCUCGCCCACCAGGCCUUAAUCCAGAACGGCGCCGUGUUCGCCGACCGCCCCCGGGCCUCGGCCACCAACAAGUACUCCAGCAGCAACCAGCACAACAUCAGCUCCGCCAUCUACGGCCCCACUUGGCGCCUCCUCCGCCGCAACCUCACCUCCGAAAUCCUUCACCCUUCCCGGGUCAAAUCCUACGGCAACGCCCGCAAAUGGGUUCUCGACAUCCUCGUCAACCGCCUCAAAACCAAGUCUCAAUCCCACUCCGAAGGCGCCAGCGCCGGCGUCAGGGUGGUCGACCACUUCCAAUACGCCAUGUUCUGCCUCCUGGUUCUGAUGUGCUUCGGUGACAAAUUGAACGAAGAGCAAAUCAAAGAAAUCGAGCGGGUGCAGCGCCAAUUUCUUUUGAGUUCCGGGCGGUUCAAUAUCCUCAAUUUCACCCCUAAAUUGACGAAGAUUAUCUUCAAAAAUCGGUGGCGGCAAUUCUUCAAAAUCCUCGAGGAACGACGAGAAGUGCUCGUCCCUCUGAUUCGAGCAAGACAAAACAAGGCAAAGCAGGGCAGCAAAAACGACGACAAUGACGAUGAAUUUGUGUUGUCGUAUACUGAUACGCUGCUGGACCUCGAGCUUCCCGACGGAAACAAAAAGCGGAAGCUUUCGGAGGGAGAAAUGGUCAGCCUCUGCUCAGAGUUUCUGAACGGCGGCACCGACACGACUUCCACCGCGCUGCAGUGGAUCAUGGCCAACGUAGUGAAGUACCCGCAAGUUCAGGAGAAGCUGUUUGCGGAGAUUAAAGGGGUUAUGGGAGAAACGGAGGACGAGCUGCGGGAGGAGGUCCUGCACAAGCUGCCGUAUCUGAAAGCCGUGAUCUUGGAGGGGCUGAGGCGCCACCCGCCGGGCCACUUUGUGCUGCCGCACGCGGUGACGCAUGACGUGGUUUUGGGCGGACACGUGGUGCCCAAGAACGGGAGUGUUAAUUUCAUGGUGGCGGAUAUAGGCUGGGACCCUCAAGUGUGGGAAGAUCCCAUGGCGUUCAAGCCGGAGAGGUUCUUGAGCAGCGGCGGAGGAGAAGAAGGGUUCGAUUUGACGGGGAGCAGGGAGAUUAAGAUGAUGCCGUUUGGGGCAGGGAGGAGAAUCUGUCCUGCGUCGGGAUUGGCGGUGCUUCACCUGGAGUACUUUGUGGCGAAUUUGGUGUGGAAAUUUGAGUGGAGAGCUGUGGAGGGAGAUGACGUGGACCUGUCGGAGAAGCAGGAGUCUACUGUGGUGAUGAAGAAUCCAUUGCAAGCCCACGUAAUCCCUAGAAUUUAAUGCGUGGGAGAAUUCUGUAAUAAUUUUUCGAUAUACUUUGAACUGUCAAAUCCAUCAAUGUAUGCUCUUCAUUGAUUAUGCAAUUUCGAAAAUUUGGAAUUUUAGUUUACUAGUGUGAUACAAGACAGAUUUUAUAACUUCAAUAUUUAGUGAGUGAUUUGAGUGAGCUGUACUUGCUACUUUUUAGCUUAUAACUAAUACAACUUUCCAAUCUUGGAAGACAUCUUCUGUAUUUAGAGAUUGCCCAAUAGCAAGGAGCAUUUGAGAAUUUGAUGGGAAUGCCUACAUAGUUACAACUCUCCUUUAAUCUUGGUGUUACAACUUGUUUGAUGACUAAUUCGAUAUCCCAGUUAUUGUGGUCUGAACAAACUCGGUGGAGUAGUGUUUUUGUUUUUACCUUCGUAUAUAUAGAAAUGGAAGAAUAAACAACUUUUUGAAGACAACUUCUUUCCGACAAAGGUGUUAUGGUACCAUUUCUGUUCAUUGCUUAAUUUGUUAGACUAUGCUUCGUCCUAAAAAUUCGUCAACUGAAGUAAUCUGAAGUUUUCAACUUCAUGUUUUGAGCCUCGGAGAUAAGGUUAAGCUCUAUGGAACUACUAUAUUUACAACAAUCUCGAUCUGAUUUCUUUGACAUGUUGAAUUUGUUGGUGGGACGCUGAGAUGCAAUGAAUAUGUGACAUUACGCAAAGUUGGAGAUGCAAGCCAUAAGGUUGGUCAUAUACAAUAUGCUAAUAGUAUUUGCACCCACAUUUUUAGCACAACAGUUCCAUAGCUAGAGUUCUAGUUUGCGGACGGAAAGUCUGACUAGCGUAUAUAUAAUUUGAUCUUUUGUAGGGUGGUGGUUCUGGCACCCAACAAAUUGUGAUUGAAGGCCCCUUAUGUGAGAAUUAUUACAAGAUUCGGGAGUAUCUCUAGUCACAAUUUUAUGUCCUUUAAGACCAUCUCCAACCUUUGGGGACAAAGCUUAAAAAUUUAAGCCAGAAAAUUUUAAGUCAUAAGCGAGAAACUGUUUUUCUCUUCUAACCCUUAUGGCUUAAAAUUUUAGCCUGUGAUGAUCAAAUAAUGAUUUUAGCCUAACUUUUUGUUUUCGGUAACUUUUUUUGAAAAUAAAAUUUACGUAGAUUAUCUUAAUCUAUUUUUAUAAAUAUUUUAGUCUAAAAAUAUUUAAAUUCCGAUAAGUAAUUAAAAAUCAUACAAAUACAUAGGUAUUUAUAAAGUUUUAAGUUAAAUUUGAUUUAAAUAAUUUUCUUAAAUUAUUUUAGAUGUUGAUUUAAUCUUGGACGGUCAAAUCUUUUUUUUACUUUUAGAUUUGAUCUCAUUUGAUCAUAACCGUUAAAUUAUAAGUAAAAAGCAAAAGAAAAAUUGAAAUAUAACAGUUUGGUGGAUUCAAAAUAAUUUAAGCCAACUUUAAAUCUUGGAGGAAUCUAGUUUAGAGAUAUAUUUUAUUUUAGCUUAUGGUUGGAGAUAGUUUGGAGGUUUUAAAAUUUAUAUUUUAAGCUUUAUUUUAUAAAUUAGAGAUCAUCUAAAUGGAUAGACAUAAUAUCUAAUGCCUUCAUAUGAACUUGAAUCACAAUGUUAACUUCCAGUGAUUCAGGAAACACACUAAAGUUUAAUUUCAACGUAGGACUUAUUUUUCGUCGAAGUUGUCAUGGACUCAUGGUCAGACAUUUUAAGUGAAAGUGACAAUAUGUGCAGCUGAGUUAAUGCCGUGGAAACUUGGUUCCUUAUAAUGUAUGGAAACUAACAAUUAAUGAGCAGACGCAGUUGCCCUUUUGUCUGAUUGCUUACGAUUCACCAUGGAAACCUGGUUCCUUGUCCUCAUCGCCCUCUGCGUCUCCUUCCUCCUCAAACCCCUUCUCUCUCUAUUCCUACCCACUUCCAUCUCCAGACCCAAUCUCCCUCUCGGGCCUCGCUUCUUCCCCAUCAUCGAGGGCUUCUUAUUCCUCCUCAAAUCUGCCUCGGAGCUCGAGCCUAUUAUCCGCAAACUCCAGGCCGAAUACGGGCCCAUCAUCUCCCUCCGCAUCGGCUCCCGCUCUACCGUCUUCGUCGCCGACCGCUCCCUCGCCCACCAGGCCUUAAUCCAGAACGGAGCCGUGUUCGCCGACCGCCCCCGGGCCUUGGCCACCAACAAGUGUCUCAACAGCAACCAGCACACCAUCGGCUCCGCCGGCUACGGUCCCUCGUGGCGUCUCCUCCGCCGCAAUAUCACCUCCGAAAUCCUCCACCCUUCCCGCGUUAAAUCCUACGGCAACGCCCGCAAAUGGGUUCUCGACAUCCUUGUCAACCGCCUCAAAACCGAGUCUCAAUCCCACUCAGAAGACGUCGCCAGCGGCGUCAGGGUGGUCGACCAUUUCCGAUACGCCAUGUUCUGCCUCCUGGUUCUGAUGUGCUUCGGCGACAA